rnacentral:lncRNA from 1 species
CUCCACCGAUCUCCAGUCCUUGACCCGGCACGCCAAUAUGGAUCCCCGUCCUUGUACAGAAGCAAUUGAGGGUAGCCCGUUGGGUCGAUCCUAUAGGAGCAAUUGCCAGGUGUCGGAUCCUCUGGGGACUUCCAAGAUGUUAGGAACCGGUUCAAACCAGUUUUGCGGUUCAACCCGAGUUUCAUGAAAGGAAGCAUAGUGUCUGUUGGAUAAUCAAAGCUUUGCCAUAUCAUCCUUUCGCUAAAAUCUUGAACCAGGACUAGAUUGCCUGAAUCCAUAAGCCGGGCUGUAGUAGAAUAAUUGGAUAAUGCAUAAGAAACAUUUGUGGACCAAACCAGAAAGCUUCCAUUUGUCUCAUGGAGCACCAAAUUUCCAUCAGAAUCAAUCGAAAGAGCUCCUGAAGUGCCAUUGAUUGGCCUUUCUCGGUUAGCAACCCAAACAACGGUUUGCUCAGAAACUUGGUAAUACCAAAUUCCGACAUAACGGUGGCUAGAAUUACCUGGGCUUAAGAAACCGAGAGCGAACUUUUUACCGCUGGAGACCAAGAGAUUGCCAUCUCUGAUAGUAUUGUUUUGGCUUAGGAUGUCCAAGCCAAUACUUCCCUGAAGUAGAAAAAGAAGAAGCAGGGCAUAUACUGACCCCUUUUCUGUGUUCAUGCUGUCUUUUUAUCGAGGAUGGGCGGAGUGAUGAUAACCAAGAGCCCUGUUUAUUCACCUGGAACCGAUUCAAUGGGGAAGCAAAUACACCUCAAGCAACAUCGAUCCACUUCAUUAAUUAAAGGGAUAAGGCUGCUGGGAAGGGAAAGGUGAGGCGAGUCCCCAAGGUACGUGACCAUUACUUCAAUGUACAUGAAAAAUUUCGUGUUUCACGAUCGAGAAAUAUCGACCAAGUAUGAAGCAUCACCCCUUGCACUCCAUUUGGUCGAUCGAAAAGGUGACAAUCGCUUUGCUUAAAUUCAUGGGAAAGGUCCCCACUAAUUAAGACCUCACCUACACUCUGGUAUUUGAGGUAUCAUUACUUAUCAGACUGUUGUGACAGAGAUGGAUACCGUGUCGUUUCCAUUGACAACGAUUUUAAUAUAGAAACAGUCAGUCGAGCUGAAAAUUCAAUAUCAUAAUGUCAUUGUGGAAACUGAGGGAAAAAAAAAUUCCAUUUCUAGGUCUUUAUUCAAGGCUAAAGUCAAAUUGCCAUUUAAUCCUUUUCAGAUUCGUCCUUUACGCUAGGCUAGUAUUCUCUGUUUUCUUAUGACAGAACUAAGCUACUAUAUUAAGAUGAUUCUUUUGAUUUGAUCACUCUGCAAUAUACGAAACCUCUUCACUGUUUGUGCUUCUAAUUAUAGAUGCACUGAGGUUUGUUUCCCUUGUCAAUGUCAACAGCUUUUAGAAUUUUCUGAAAUCUCAAGAGUGAAUGCGUUUCAUUGGGGUGAGUAUCUGACCAUUCUUGUGCCUAUCAUCGGAAAUUUGCAAUAACGUCAAAAUGAUAGCAAGCUAUUAUGGAUUGCCAGUCUACCCUACAAACAAUUAAUCUUGGCAGACUGAAUUAAAGUCACUAAGUUUAGACUAGUGUGAUAGAAAUCGGCAUAAAUUCUAUGUAACGUGACCCGAUUCGAAUUUUGUACACUCACUUGUUUCGGAUCACCAAAUUCAUGACCCAAGUGAUCACGCCUGAUGCUCGUGCAAUUAAAAAAGCACUAACAUAUAUUUGAUCCUGCUGACUAGAACAAAGCUUACCCAAGACGUUGAUCACUCGGUCAUUUAUCUGGCCCCGUCUGGAAGGGACACUUUCCUCCGUUCAUUAGUUGACCUCGACCGCCGUUUCACGAGCGAGGCUAGAGAUUAAACAGUGUUCAAUCAUAGAUCAAGAAGUCUGACCCGUAAAAGAGAAAAACAUAGGUCAAGAGAAAAAGACAAACCGAUGGUUUCUCUUGGCAAUGCGAGGUGGCGUGAGAAGACGGCAACCCCAUGGAAUAGAAUUCACAAUCUAUCAAGGGUUGUUCGUUUACUCAGUUGUCCAUUUGGUCAUUUAUAUGUUUAUUGUCGUCUUGAUAUGUCACUAGCACAAGCGGGUUUCAUGUAGUUCUUGAAGGGUAGAUGGAAAGGUAACGUGGGGAAACCCUGACCAAGUAACCAGGGCUCCUCACCAAAAAUGGUGGCAGAAAGUGAUAAGGAAAGGAAUUUAGAUCCCUCGGAUGUGAGGCUCGAGAGAAGAGAGAUUAGUACACUUUCCUCAACGUUACUCUCGGUGCAUUACUAUGCUGAUGUGAGUUUGAGGUUUCAAAAUCAAUUUAUUCAAUAUUUUCAAGUCCCUUUUGUACAAAGCUACUGUUAAUGUACUUGGCAUCAGGUAAUUACAUUCAGAGUUUAACAUACAUAUGUACUACGCAAAUCUUUUUAGAAGUGCCAUUUUUGGAAAAAAAAAAAAGAAAAAGAAAAGAAAAGGAAAGUGCAUUACAAGUUUAGAAACUUAUUACAAAAGUGCAAUUGAAUCAUAAAAUUUUCAAAAAGUGCAAUCAAGUCCUAUUAUUUAUCACAAAAGUGCAAUUGAGUUUUAAAACUUUCAAAAAGUGCAAUAAAAUUGAAAGAUUUUACUAAAUCAAUUUGAUAAGUUUUAGGACUUGAUUACACUUUUUAAAGGUUGUAGGACUAUUGUACUUUGUGAUAAGUUUAGGAUUUAAUUGUACUUUUUGAAAAUUUUAGGACUCACUUGUUCAUUCUUGAUAAAUUUUAAGACUUUCAAUGUACUUAUCCUUUAAAAAAAAAUUGUAAACUUAUCUUGUCACGCCCCAAUCCUCGGGCACGCACACAUCCUUCUUACUUGAUCGAUUUUAUAAUGCGAUAUCCCAGGACAAUGUAUCGCCGACCCUUUCAUUUAUUAAGCACAUGCGGAAGCAGUUAAAAUCCCUAGAUAAUAAAACGAUGGGAUAGAAAAGCAGGGCCAUAUUUUUCAUAUUGAAACUUAUAACCAAACUUUUAUACAAAACACAAACCAGAGCACUUCACAACUUUUUACUCUAUCUCUAUUCACAUCAAAAUGGAGAUCUUAAAAGAAGAUAGGAUCUCAAUCCAUCCAGGCCGUACUCAAGACCCCUCUCGGGACUAUCUUCUUCUUUAAAAAAUCCUUCUCCUCAGAUCUCACUUCCGAGUUCUCCUUCAUAGACUUCUCCUCCUCAGCUUCUCAUCGGGGUCCUGGAAUGUUUUCCCCAAAUUGGGAUGAGACUACGUCUCAGCGAGUUCUACCCCACUAAGCCCGAUUAGUAAACCAUUAUACUAUAGGCUGCCUAUACACGCACAGGGCAGAAGACGUACCUUAAUCUCAGAUCCCACCUGCAAGUCAGUACAAUUUAUAAUAGGCACCCAAGCAAUCAUAUCACUGAUCGAAGCAUCGAUCAAAUCGACCUAGUCGAUUAAAUGCCAACAAGACCACUCACGGUCAUUCCUAAUCAGUCAAUCAAUUCACGACAUCAAUCAAAGCAAUGAUCAAUCGACCUAGUCGAUUAUACAUCAGCCUGACCCUUUCCCGGUCAUUCAAGCUAUUGCUAUACAGUCUCAAUUGAUAAAACCAAUUACCGAGCCACGUGCAUUCUCUGAGGUAAUGCAUUAAUUUACCCAGCCCACGUGCCCUUUAAAAUGCCAUUUUGAAUCAACGAGCCCACGUGCAUUCUUCGAGGCGAUGCAUCAAGUCACCGAGCCCACGUGUCUCUUCAAGAUGCCAAAUGUACUCAUUGGGACCACGUGCAUUCUCUGAGGUAAUGCAUCAAAUUACCGAGCCCACGUGUCCUUUUAGAUGCCAAAUGUACUCUUUGAGACCACGUGCAUUCUCCGAGGUAAUGCAUCAAAUUACCGAGCCCACGUGUCUCUUUUAGGAUGCCACACUUAAUCACCGAGCCACAUGCAUUCUCCAAGGCGACAUACUUCGUCACCGAGCCAUGUGCAUUCUCCGAGGUGAUAUAUCUAAUCAUCAAGCCUCGUGCAUUCUCCAAGGCGACGUACUAAUCAUCGAGCCACGUGCAUUCUCCGAAGUGAUAUACCAAAUCGCCGAGCCACGUGCAUUCUCCGAGAUGACGUACUAUUCAUCGAGCCACGUGCCUUUCAUGAUGAUUCAUCCCAUUUCUAAAGUAAUUAACCACAAUUAAAUCAAUUUAGCACAAAUUAAAGCUCAAUUAAAUAAACGGACUUUGCCACGGUCAUCAGCAUAAUUUUCCAGUCACGGUCCAUCUCAGUUGAAUUUCCGAAAAAUAAAUAAAUAAUUAAUAAAUUUUGAGAAUUAAUAAUUAAUUAUAAUAAAUCCAAUUUAGCUCAAAUUGGUGCUCAGUUAAAUAAACGGACUUCACCAUAGUCAUCAGCAUAAAAUUCCGGUUCCAGACCAUCUCAGUUGAAUUUUUGAAAAAUAAAUAAUUAUUUAAUUUAAUUCCGAAAAUUAAUAUUUAAGUACAAAAAAUUCCACUUAGGCCCGAAAAGUCUAAUUGGAGCCCACUAAGGGUCGGGAAAAAUCCUGAGGCACUUCCAAUAAUUAGUAGACCACGUCUACUUGAUAAUUGCGCAAUCAAUUUAUCUAAAUCGCAUCACAAUUGACUAAUAAUUGCUAAUUUAUUCUAAUCUAACAACCUAAAUAUAAUUUAUUAAAUCUAAACCAACCUUAAGUAUACUUAGCCAACUAAUCCAGGAUUAAUGAGAUUACUCACCAAAUUGCAUGCAAAUCAGAUCAAUCCGACGAGGGCGACGCGAGGAACGAUUCUUCCCAAAGCACGGCUCGGGUUCGGGGUCCGAAAACGGCCCAAAAGCGGGCCCGAACCAGCUAGAAACCCAUUUCAUGGGUUGCUAGACGGGGCUGGCCGGGGCUGCUCCGGUGGCCAAAACAGAGAGGGGAGGCCGGCGGAGAGCAAGGGGAAUGUCGGGGAGGUCGGGCGGUGCUGGGCGGUGGCCGGAGCUGGCCGGACGGGGCGGGAUGGCGGCUGGGUCGCGCGGGGGAAGGGGCUGCAGCGGGCGACAGACGCAAGGCGUGCGCGGGUGGCGGGACGACGGCGAGCGGCGGGCGCAUGGGCGCGGCGCGGGCGUGCGGUGCGGCGGCGGAACGGGUGGCGACGGGGCAGCGACAGUGAGCUGCAGCUUCUGGUUCGCUCGCUCGGAUGUGCGGAGGAAGGAAGAAGAAGAAGAUAGAGAGAGAGAGAGAGAGAGAGAGAGAGAGAGAGGAUAAGGGUGUAGGGUUUUGACUAGUCAAAAAGGGAAGAGAAAGCAAAGUAGGAAACGGCAAGGGGGAAAAAGAAAGAGAGAGUCAGCGUGGGGAGGGGGAUUCACACGAGGGGGAGGGGAGAGGAGAGAGAGAGAGAGAAAAGAAAGAAAAGAAAAGAGAGGGAGAGAGAGAAAAAGGAAAAAAAGAAAAUGCAUAAUGCCUUUAUGCAAAUUUUCCUUUUCUCUUUUCCUUUUUCAUUCUAUUUUCUUUUUGGUCUUCAAUUUUUUUCUUCCAAUAAUUUCUUUAUUAAAAUUUCGGACUCGUCAAUAAAUUGAUGAGCGAUGAGACAGGAUCCUAAAAAUAAGAAUUAUGACGCGCUUAAAAUUCAAUUCCCGAAAUCGAGUUCAAUUUCGUGGUUAAAAAUCGAUCAGACGUGAUUUUAGCUCAAUCCAACCAAUUAGGUAGCUUUUAGGGAUUUUACAGCUGAUACAUCCCUUAACGGCUUCACCCAAUAGGUUAGUUAACUCGUGAGUGAUCAGUUCAGAGAAAAAGGGCCAUAGGCACGUCGACGAAAUGCCCAUUUCACUUUAUCGAAAUGGGGUUGAAUUUCAGAAUGUCACAUAUCUAUCACACAUUGACCGUAGUAAUCCCGACAUCAUAAAUAGAAGCUGAAACAAUGCCAUUACUAGACAAUGCAUUUGCUCCAUGGUAGCUCUUCUUGAAGACAAACGCAGGCUGUUUCGUAGACGGAAGCAACACACUAGCAUUUCCGCAACAUGAACACAGACCGUAGGCAUUGGAUGGGAACUCUUGCAUGCACAAGACACCGAUCUGAAUUCACCUUGAAGCCUCCUCUCUUGACAUAAAUUGCGAAUCGACUAGUCGACAAUGUUUAGGCCUUUCCUCCUUUUCAUAGCUCCCAUACCUAUGAGCUAGUGAUGUGUUAAAUUAUGUCUCGAGUGUGAGUUUGUACAUAUUUGACACAACAGAAGUAUAUAGAACAUGACCCGGUUGAAGUAUUGCUUGUAUUUUGGAUGUCUUCUAAGUUGGACUUUAUCUCCAAGCAAAUUCAAGGGAGUUCAAAAUUUGGUGAAGUCUAUUUUGGAUUAGAGAAAAAAGAAGAAAUUGCGGUAUUCUAGUUUGAGUUCACAAGUCACGCAAGAACAUAAAUAAUAAUAAUAAUAAUAAUAAUAAUAAUAAUAAUAAUAAUAAUAAUAAUAAUAAUAAUUCUGCUCGAUUACACAUUAGAGCAUUUCAAUCGACGAUGAAUGAAAUCCAAGCUUUAGUUAGGCAUAUACUUGCAAAUUAACAGUUUCUCAGUUUCUCCAAUGUAGUACCCUAGAAUUUUCACCACACUCCAAAGAUGGAGUUUUGCAAUCAAUGUAACUUCAAUCUUAUACUAUUCGAUCCUUUGUCCAAAAUAUUUGAGAAGCCUUUUAACUGCCAUUUCCAUUCCAUGUUUGUCACACCCUGUAAAAGCAAAUCAACAUAUUCAUUAAAGUAAAAUGAUGGGGUAACAGUAAAGGUGUGUUUGGUAAAAAUUUUAUUUCCAGAAAUAAUUUCAGUUCAAAAAUAUUUUUUUUUCCAAUUCUAUUCCCUAAAUGAGUUCAACCAGAAGAAUGUGUUUGGUAUGAUCCUAAAAUUUUGAUUCUUCAAUUAGAAAAAGAAUAAGAAAUCGUUUGGCUUUACCUUCAUUUUUUUUUUGAAAUUUUUUUCCCUCCUUUCUUCUUUCUCUUCUAGCUAGUUGCUGGGCCUUGGCAUAUACUAAUUAUGUUUUCAUAUUGUCUUUUUGUUUUAGGAUACUAUGGUAUGAUGUCUAAGGCAACGUAAGUGACUGAGUGAACAAUACCCCAAAUGUCACAUAGUGUAGUCAAGGUCUUAAUUAGUGAGGAUCCACCUUCCUCAUGAAUUUAAGCAAGUAGUUGUAAAUUUUUCGUCCACCAUGUAAAUGUAAUUCAAGAUGUGACACCGACUUUACCCUUUCUGAGCUUGAUAUUUUCAGUCAACGUGUCCCAAGCAUCAAACAAGAAAAUAAUUCCUACCUCAUGCAUAUUCAAGGAAAUUUGCAACGGUAGUCUAUUACAUCUAAUCUACAUGUAAACUUUUCUCCUAAGCACAAGAGCAACUUUUAGCUCAUACACAACACGAUUAGCCUUCAGGUGUCGUCUAUCUACCGAUACAGGACGCAUCUCAAUUUCUCAAGUUGAGUAGUACCGUAGUGGACUUGUGGUGGCAUGUGGCUAGCGAGCUUCAACAGCAGUAAUUGUAACUCUGUUAACAGAACAUGUUUGGUUGCAUAUCGACUGAAUAUUUCCAUUGUAGUCACUCUCGUCGAUGAAUGCGGGCUGUUUCGGGAACGGAAGUACCACAUCAGCAUUUCCCAACAUGAGAACCACUGUGGACAUAGUUGGCCUGUCCGAUGCAUAUCUUUGCACGCACAAAAGACCGAUUUGAAUGCACCUUGAUACGAUUUCUUCAGAAUAUGUAUUGCCAAUUGAUUUGUCCACAAUGUCCAUGCAUUUUCCUCCUUUCCACAGCUCCCAUACCUGGACAUCACACAUACCAGACACCUCGGAUUGUGACUGCGAUUGUAGAGCCUGGUCAAGUUGUGCAUAGCGAUGAAUUAUAUAAGAGUUUCAUACUUACAUGGCCAAUUAAAUAGCAAAAUGGAUUCAUAUGAUAGCACCCGCUAUUUCUUUGGCCUGUGAUGAUCUCUAGCAACAAAACUCCAUAACUGCACACAUCUGAUUUUAUAGAAAACUGGCCUUGCAUAGCAUACUCCGGUGCCAUGUACCCAAAUUUGCCUCUUAACUGGCAGUUAAAUAAUUCAGAUAUCUUUAGACUCUGGUGAAACAGAAUCAAUAAAAUUGUAUGCAUGCAAUAGCAGUGUUUCUUCGAGUUACCAAUCUGAUCUUCUUUUAUACCACUUUUGCUCCCCCUUCUUAGGAUUCUUUUUCUUCCUCGUAGUAUAUGCCAGACUAUCAUGUAAAAAAGUAGCGCCACUCCUACGGCUGCGGCAAGGAUUGCAGCAUAUAUUUUCCACUUAAAGUGUACUUUCCCUGCAUUUGUUGUCGGAGUUAAUAGUUUCAUUUACAUACAUGGAAGUAUGGCUCGCUCUAGUCAUGACAACGUCAUGUUCCAGCACACACACGAGACAAGAUAUUCCCAACUCCACUCAAAAGCUGUGGCAGACAGUUGAAUUGACUGUACUUAACCGAAACGUGCGUUGAGAAAUCCAACUGCAAAGAUUUCAACUGUAGCAGAAUUGAAAAAAAAAAAAUCUUUUGCUGGCUGAGAAACUCGAAUAACUCCUUGAAGAGCAAAGAAACAGCUUAUAUUAUUGUCUUAUUUCUCCUGAUCUUGUCUUGAUGAAACUGUUUGCUUCUGAUAGUUGUUGCAUUCAUUUCCGUAACAUUUGCAACUUCCAAGUUCUUGUGCCUUCUUUUACAGCUCGUACUCUUGUCAAGACGACAAUGGUGGCAACGAUGAUAUCGGUAUCUGCAGUAGUGUUGCUGCUCUUAGCCUUUCUUAUGUACUGCCUUCGGCUGGUGAGGAAAAGAGGUGUGGUAAUCUUGCCUUGAUAGAAGCUUUUUCAACCAUAUAUAUUACUCAGUCUGUUUUACAAGUAGGUAAUUAUUUAGAUGUUUAGGGAUAAGAAAUCCAUUAAAUUAAAAUUGGAGCUAAUCUAGCCAGGAUUUUAGGCUACAGGGUGGUUGAUUUCAAUUCUGGAAACCUUGAUCAAGGAAGCUGCGAAAACAGUGCUUGAUAAUUAAAAAUGCUAUAUUGUGACAGCAGAUAGAAGAGGAAAAUUUGCAUCGUUCCUUCCUCUACAAAGAAUUCCCAAAUUGGCUAGAACGGCAAAACAAGAAGCAGUACCGAAUUGCUUUCAUUUUCAUAAGCGCUUUGUUCAACUGUGUGACAGCAGAUAGGAGAGGGCGUAAUCACCAGUUUGGUGUUGCCACGAGUUCAACAUAUUUUGAUGAAAUUCCAGGUCUAGAAGUCCUCGACAGCGAAGGUAGGCGAAAAAUAGAUAUACCGGUCUUUGAUUUUGAAACUGUAGCUGCAGCCACAAGCAAUUUUUCCUUUGCCAAUAAGCUUGGCCAAGGCGGUUUUGGAUCUGUAUAUAAGGUAAUUAAUCUCCCUAUUCAACUGAAUCCAAAUGGUGAUUGGAUAUUAAUAUGUAUAUUCUUCCAACCUCAAUUGUCUGUCCCUUAUGGGGAAUGAUGUCCUUGAAUAAAAUGAUCGGAAAGGAACCAGUUUUAUUGUAAAGGACUGUUUUUCUAUUUUGAAAUUCUCGAAAGGUAUUGUGAUCUGAUUACUUCCACUAUAUAUAUGGAGGUGCAUCUUGUGUCGACUCUUAUCUACCCGUCGUCACAAACACAUGAAGAAAACAUCCUCCCGGGAAGUUUACUCAUAGCAGCUUUUGAGCCACUGGCUUCACACGACAGGUCUAAAUAUUUAUUCCUGUGAUGUGUUCAUUUUCACAGGGUGUUAUGAAUGACGGAACAGAAAUAGCAGUUAAAAGGCUCUCGAAAUACUCUGGACAAGGAAACGAAGAGUUCAAAAAUGAAGUCAGGUUGAUUGCCAAGCUCCAACACCGGAAUCUAGUGAAAAUCCUAGGUUGCUGCAUUCGAGAAGACGAAAAAUUGUUAAUUUAUGAGUAUUUACCUAAUAAAAGCUUGGAUUCAUUACUUUACGGUAAGUAACCUCUUCCAAUGGCCAAAAAAAUUUCGGUCUACAGGUAGUAAUAUGGAUAAUAACUUGAGGUAAUCCCCAAAAUUGAUCCAGAUGAAACAAAGAGAUCACUUCUGGACUGGGGGAAAAGGUAUGAAAUCGCUUAUGGGGUGGCUCGAGGACUCAUGUAUUUACAUCAGGAUUCAAUCUUGAGAAUAAUCCACAGAGAUUUGAAAGUUAGCAAUGUCUUACAGGAUGUUGCACUGAACCCCAAGAUUUCAGAUUUUGGGUUAGCAAGGAUAUGUGGAGGAGACCAAAUUGAAGGAAAAACGAAGCGCAUGGUUGGGACAUAGUGAGUAUUUUUCUUAAGCAUUAAAUUCUACAUCAUCUAAUUAAAAAAUGAGAUAUUAGAGCAUGGAAAAAGAACGCCAACCAACCAUUUUCUUUCUUUCAUACUAAAGUUUCAACCUUUUGUUAUGUCCCCCUUGUAAGAUGAAUGAGAUGCUGAUUACUUUUCUUGUUUUUGGCUUCCACAGUGUAAAAAAUUUAUGUUUUUGGGAUUAAAGAAAAGAAAAGAAAAAGCAAAUGUUAUCAACUUGAAUUUAUAGAUCCCCAUGGACAAAUAAAAUUAUAUUUAUAUCACUUACACUAAUUGAUGUGAUGUAAUCGAUCAACCACUUAAAAUUUUAGUAUGCCUCAUUUCAAUGCACAUUUCUAUUCCUUAGCCCCAUAUCCCUGAACAGUAUUUUUUGGCAUGCAUCCCAACUAAUUUUUUGCUUUUGAAUUUUAAAUGCCUGCUUCUUAAUUAUUUCCUAGCAUUUCUCUGUCAUUGUCACGUAGUGUGAUGAUGAUCACAUAAAAUACCUUCCAUUCUCAGCCAAUUCCACUUCGUCAUAAGUGACACAAACAUAGUCAUUGUCACCUAAGACAGUGACCACCUCAUGAUGUGUGUCCCUUGAGGAAUACAGACACCACCACGAGGUGGUACCAAUUUACAUAUCUAUCAUAGAAUUCAAACAAAUAUAUAGAACAUCUUCUAAAAUGACUGCCGCAAGUUGAUCUCCAUGGUCCAAACAAAAGGUGGCGCUCCGCGGAAUUUUGUGCGGGAUGUCGCUCGCGCAUGCAGGAAAGAGAGAGAUAUCGGGCAACCAAGGCGGUGACUAUAGCCUUCGAGAGACCGCUGCCUCUCCCCUUCUCAACAGAUUGUUCAUUUUUCCAUUUCCCCCUUCUUUUUUGUUUUAAUGUAUGUAAGCUCAUCAUCUCUCCCGAGUUGAGUUAUUCCAUUUAGAGUAGAUACGUUUGAUGUAUGUCUGAGUAUAUGCCCUCCCAGGACAUUGCCAAACUCCAUUCGAGCAUAUCUCAUCCAAAAACAUUACCAAUCUCCGAGAAGAAUGAACACUUCCUCAUAAACCUUUGACAUGCUUAUUAUACAAGGCAAAAGCCAGUAAAAAUCCUAAACUAUGCGAACUGUAAUACAUUUAUCUUAAUUUUUUUUGUGAUAUGAAAAAUCUCAAAUUUGUAUUUAUAUGAUGCAUUCAUCGUCCCUAAAAAAUUUUUCAAUGAAAAUAAUUAAAAAUCUGUCUAAAUGGAGUUAGAAAGCAAAUAGUGUUAAUGUGACACUUACGUGGCUUAAUUGAAAUAUAAACGACAUUAUUUUGGCUGAAAAAUCAUCUAACUAAACUUUAAUGGAGGUAAAUACGUCACAUAGGUACAAGUUUGGGAUUUUUUAUGUAAUAAGAAAAAGUUCAAAGUAAAUGUGUUAUAGUGAGUAUAAAGCGUUGUGGCACCCCUCGACAGCCCCCGAUCCGAUUAGGGUCGCCACAGUUCGCUUACCAUUCACUUUUCCUAAUAACAUGUCACUCUGAUACCAUUUCAAUUGCAGCAAGUUCAUACAACCAUGGGGGUUUACAUUUUUUCUCUCUCUCUCUCUUUUUUUUUUUUUUGAUAGGUCAUUUGCGCAAUUCAUAUACGGAAGCACAUCUAACAAACUCCAUUCCCUAUAUUCAGAAAACGAUACACACCUACUAAACAUCUUAUAUAAGUUAAAGCCGAACACGUUUAUUUACAUAAAGUAGAUGGACAUCUUUAGUCAGUACAUCGAAAUGCCAAUGUUUCUAUACUCGGCUAUACUUCAAAAGAUGACCGACAUCUCCUCCCACAAUCGUAUGCUUAAGGUCCAUCAACCAGUGUCGGCGUCCAAAGGUUCCCUCCUUUACUAUCCUUCUCCUUGCAGUCAUAUUCAACCGCUUAAACCAUUUAUUAAUUUGAAAUGUUAUUCCCCAAAAGGGGUGAGUACAACUACUCAGCAGGUAAAGGAAUCCAGUAACAACUCAAUGCAUCAUGCAAAUCAUAUAUGCAUUGCAGGCGUUACUUACCUUGAAGCCAUGCUCAUACUAUCAUGCAUUAUCAUUUCAAUUUAUAACACAUACAUGUCAUCAUCAUCAUGACAUCAUCGUAUCAUACAUGUCAUCAUCAUCAUGACAUCAUCACAUUACACAUGUCAUCAUCAUCAUGGUAUCAUUACAUUACACAUGUCAUCAUCAUCAUGGCAUCAUUACAUUACACAUGUCAUCAUCGUCAUGGCAUCAUUACAUCAUACAUGUCAUCGUGCCAUAUCAUAUAUCAUCGUCAUUAUCAUCAUUAUGCAUAACAUCAUGCAUAUCAUUACGCAUCUCAUAUCAUGGGUGAUCAUCAUUAUUUCACAUCACAUAUCAUCAUUAUCAUCAUCAUUAUGCACAUCAUCAUGCAUAUCAUAUCAUGGGUGAUCAUCAUUAUUUCACAUCACAUAUCAUCAUCAUCAUCAUCAUCAUUAUGUAUAUCAUCAUGCAUAUCAUAUCAUGGUUUAAUUUCUACUUUUUGCUUUCAAUUUGAUCACCACAUCACCCAUUUCUCAAAUCAUCAAUUUCAUCAUCCCCUCGGGCAAAGACCUCCGAGGCUUCCGGCAUUCAACCUCCCAGGCCACCGGGCAUCCGGCCCCCCACAUUCUGGGCAUCUCGCAUCCCAACUGACAUCACGAGGCAUUCCCUUCGGGCAGAAACCUCUGGCAGGGCUUCCGGCAUUUACACUCCUUGGCCGGGCAUCCCGCACCCCUACUAGCAUCGCGAGGCAUUCCUUUCGGGCAGAGAACUUCGACAAGGCUUCCGGAAUUAUGUACUGACAUACCACCAGGAUCCCUCCCUCCUCUGGAAUUACGUACCGUAUACCACCGGGCAUCCCGACACUGCCGGGGAAUCUGGCAAUACAUCUCUAUAUAUUCCGGCCUAAUCCUCCACCACAACCACUUCCUCACUUAUCAUUAUCCACAUUUACCAUUAUUUUGAUCUCAAUUUAACAUGGCAUAUGGCGUGACAUCAAACAAGUCAUACUUGGCAUAGGAUUCUCACAUGCAUCACAACUCAAUGUCACACAUAUACCAAGACUUUAUCAUAUGCAUCUCGAUUCAAUGUCAUACAUACACCGAGACUUUAUCAUACAUGCAACAAGAUAAAUUUAAUGGAAUUUAUGGUCAAUAAAAUAAUCCAUUUUAUUUUUAUUUAUUUAUUUAAAUUCCAACUUUUGUUAUUUCCAUAAAUUUAAUGUCAACAAACUCCCAAAAUUAUAAAAAUCACAGCAAGUAUUAAACAAGCCAAUAGGAUGAUAAUUUCAUACAAAAUUCAUGGCCAAAUAGCAUUUCGCACAAUUUCCCAAUUUUCACAAAACAUCAUACAAUUUUCGGAUGAAACCAGAAUGCACGGUUUCCGAAGAAAUUCGAUUAAAAUAUUCAUAUGGCCUCCAAAAAUUACGAAAUUUUACAGAGUUAUAUCCAAGACAUUUUCGUACAACUUUCAUGAAGAACUCCAAGCCAGAUUCUUUUUAGAUUAUUUUAUACAGUCUCAUGAAACUUCUGGAUCCACUACCGCAUCGUCCAGUGUACACAUCUCCGAAAUAUUGAGAUUUCACCUACCUAUUCUCUUUAGUUUCCUCUGAAAUUUGGAUAUUUUAUACAUCAAGGUAUUCUAUACAAGUUUCAUGAAGAUAAUUAGGUCAAAUAACCAGAGUAUAGUCAUCAUCUAUGUCCUUGAAGUCUCGGGUGUCUCGGAAUACAUCACCAGAAUCACCGUCUUCAAGAUCUAGUUUAUUUACUAGGCUAUUCUUGUUCAUUUCACUUAAAAUUUUAUUAUGUUGUAUUUUAAGAUGUCUCCUACAAUUUUCAUGAAGAAAUCAAAGUGAGAUUCUCAACACAAACCAAUAUGCAACCACAAAUCCAACCAAAGAUCAGUAAAAUCUUUCCAGAUCUGGGGUCUCCGUAGGAUGAGACUUUAACCCCUUGAAUCUCCAUAAUUUUCCACCAAAGUUUAGUAUGUUAUAUUUUAAGAUGUUAGCUACAACUUUCAUCAAUAAAACAAAGCCAAAAUAGAACUCUAAACAUGCAUGCAAGCUCUCACAACAUUCUGACUCGAGCGGAUUCAUGCGAAAACAUUCCAGAUCUGACAUCUCCGUAAGAUGAGAGUUUGACCCCUCCAAUCUCCAUCAUUUUCCACGAAAUUUUAGUAUGUUUUAGUACAAGAUGUUAGCUACAACUUUCAUGAAGAGAUUGAAGUCAAAAUCCAACUUAAAACAUGCAUGCAAGCCCUCACAAGAUUCUGAUUCAGGCGGAUCUCACGAAAUCAGCAUGCAAAGUCAAGAACAGCCACAUUCUAGCUCCGAUUUUUGCCUUCCCUAUGAUCCGAAACCUACCACAAACAAAUCAUACAUGCAAGGCACACAUGCAAGAGCAGCAAAGAACCCCAACUUGCCUCUAGACCCACGAACGGCGGCACACCGGUGACGAACACGGCGGACGGAUGGCGACGGGUGAGCUCCUCCUCUCUCGGCCUCACUCCCUCUCUCGCGCAACUCUCUCUCCCUUUGGCUUGGACGGAAACCCCUUACCAGCCACUCUCUCUCUCCCUUUUAUUCCCCCUAAACUUAAUCAUUUCAGCUGCAUGUGGCCACCCAAGAUGGCCAAUGGGGGCAGCCACACCUUGCACAGCCUCCACGCCACUUGGCAGCUCGGAGGAAACACAUGGCCUCCUUCAUGCAAGAUGGGCCUCCACCUUCGGCUGGGCUUGGGCCAGCAAUGGGCCGGCGAUCCCUCCUCCUCCUUUUGGCUCUGCAACUAAGCCCAAAUGGCCGAAAAUGGGGUGAGAUCAUGGGCUGGUUUUAAGCUAAUACUUUGGCCCAUAUCUCAUUCUAAUAAUCCUCCUCAAACCUAAAUUUUAUAAACACCUAAUUGAAAUUUAUAAAUCACAAAACUUUGUGACCUAUCUUAAUAAAUUCCAAUCCAUAAUCCCACAUGGCCAAAACUAGAAUUUUUCUAUCAAAUAAUUAUUCGCUAAGAGCUUGGCCAAAGUCUAAAUGCAAGACCUUAAUUUGAGCACCCCUAAUGACUGGCAAGGGAUUCUAGGAUGCCACAGGCGUCACAAUUUAUCUCCCCCAUUGGCCUAGUCGCCUCUAGAUCCAUCUUCACGUGACUCACGAAAAGAAACAAAGGCCGCAUUAUAGACAGACAAGAGACCCAUGAAUGAUUGGAUUAGACUUAAACUUUGUUGGCUGAUGAUAGGCUUUUCCUUGCAAAUAUGGCAUGAUAUAAAUGUAGGCAACUCAACUUUGAUAUUUGAUUGUGGCAAGAAAAUAAGAGUUUGUUAAGGAGUUCACUUUCUUUCUUUUUUUUUUUUUUUUUGGGUUCAAUUCUCACAGAUCACCCAAUUCGUGUUUUAUCUAAUGGGUAAUACCCGGAAUCUUCCAAAAUUAAUAAAUAUCGACACUCGAAACUUUUAAAAUUAUUGGUAAUCUAAAAAAAAUGUAAAUUACCCAUUUGAUAAUUGCAAUUUCUAUCUUUUUUUUCUUUUAUGGAGCGUUUUGUUAACGAGUAUACUUGUUAAUUUUCAAUGCAUUGUCUCUUCUCAUGUCAUGUGUUGCCCCUAUCUUGAAAAUUGAACCAUUCCUAAUUAAGCAUGCUUAACUAGUUCCCUAGGGCACACGUUAACAGAAUCCCUUUUUAUGAAUUAGUAAGGUGAUGUAAUGAAAUAACUCAAGUAGGAAUUUUCCUAACCUACUUGUUGCGUACUUUCAAAAAAGAAAAGUCAGAAUUAUCCUUAUUUUUAACACCAAUACCACUUUACUCCCUCUUUUUUAUAAAAAUCACUAAUUUACACCCUGAGUUUUUGCUUUGGAAACCAAUUUACCCAACCUUAGUUACCAUCAAUAGGGAUGAGUAUAGUUUUAGGGUAGAACCUAGAAUUGGAGAAAUGCAUAGGUGAGAACCUGCUCAAUUUAAGGAUUCAAGAUAUGCAAGAUAAAUUUCAAAAAUUGGAGAACUCGUUUCAAUGGGUAGAUUCUAGAUUUUAGACAAGUGGAUCCUAAAACUUAGAACCUGAAUCUUAAAUAAGUUUUUUCUAUUUUUCUUGGUGUAUAUCUUCACACGAUUUUACGGUAUUUUAUGGCAUCAAAUGAUAAGUGCAUAGUAUGAAACCACUAGUCUGAACUUCUAUAUUAUGAUAGAGACUUCUACUUUAUUAAUGUUUCAUGCUCUACAUCUGUCAAACAUAAGUUAUGGUCAACAGAUUAGCAACAAGUGAUAGUCAUUAAAUAUGAUAAUUCACUACAAUGAUUUGAUUAAUUAUACAAGUGGACCCUAGAACUUAUCCUAUCAUUAGAACCGACACUAGAACCUAUGAUAGAGUAGGUUCCAAGUGCAUAGUAGGUUUCAGGUUCCAAAAAAUGAGGAACUUGUUAUAAUGGACAGAUUCUAAAUUCCAAAUAGAACCUAAAACUGCUCAUUCCUAACCAUCAUAACUCUGAGGACAAUAUCUACGUUCUCCUUCCCAAAUUGGCCCUAGAGAAAUUUUAAAUUUCUCAUGUAGGCAAAACUUCCCAAAACAACUUAAAAUGCAAUUACCCAAAUCCUAAAUCAAGCUCCAUGGUACCCCAAUGAAUAUCCACCUCACUCGUUGUCAUCCACCAAUGAUCUCCCGUGCUUCCACCCUCCCUUCCUCUCAUGAUCAAUCAAGGUUGCCAAGGUAUCGGCGACCUCAAUCCACAUGCCUUCUCAUGGGCUUGGACCACCUCAACUUGAGGUAACAAACCUGUGGACUUGGACAACCUUAGGUUGAGGUCAUCCAUGGCAACUUGCAACCUUAGAUACAUCAAGAUUUGACACACAAUCACAAAGAAAUAAAAAAAUCAAGACAAAAAAAAAAGAAAUAUAGACACAAGGUUUUUAUCCUGAUCCAUCCUUAAAUUAAGGUUACGUCCAAUUGAGCAUUCCACUAUGGUUAAUACCUCACACCUCUAUUAUAACUCUUAAUUUACUAGAGAAAAAUGUUAUAUAUGCCCAAUAGCUAUUCAUAGGCUGAAACUCAAAUUACCAAUAAAAUAUGGACUUAAAUUGUAAAAGUCUUCUAGCAAGCUUAGGGGCACUGCCUCCGCAACCAUUGGACCCUGCCUACUCAUCGAGGAACGCAACUUCUAUGCCUUCUUAUUGAUGGGGAGUAUGAACCAUAUUCUUAACAACAUGGAGGUCAUGAGCAGCAUCAAGACUACAGACCACGGUGGUCAUAGAGAGAGAGAGAAGGUGGCUGCUAAGACGGCAGUGAGAGAAUGGUGGGGCGAUUGUCUGCGGCAGGGGAUGGUGGUGGAUAAAGAGAUAUUAGAAUUCGUGGCAUCGGAUCUUGCGAAAUUAGAAACUGAGAUUCCGGCUAAAGUCUGAAUGACGGGAAAUAGAGCCUCUGUACUAUGGGACCAGCAAAUAGUUAGUUCAACAUGGGUUUAGAAAUAGAGACUCAAGUGGCAUCAACAUCAGUGGUAACUAGAAAUCUUUUUGUGAUACACACCACCCAAAAUUUAAAGCAAACUGGCAAUAUCAUUGAUCUUAUUGCAACAACGAUGGCUUUCAAGAAAUCAAGCUCUUGGGAAAGGAAUAGGCAAAAGCGACAAAUCCCAUGUGUUGCCGUCCUCCACAAACGCGCUAACUUCUUUUUAUCUUUUGAAAAGCUGGGGUUGACGGUGGAUGAUGUCCGGAGUCACUUGGGCUUGUAGUCUAAGUAGCAUUAACACAUGAUACAAUAUAACACAACACGUCGACACAUCAUUUUUUAAAAAUAGAUAAUUUCGACACGUUAAAAUACGUUAUAUAUUAAAUAAAUGUUUUCAUGUUUAAUUAAUUUAAUUCAAAUUCAGUAUUUUUACUUUUCAAAAUUAUUUUUUAAUUUCAUUUAUUUAUUUUUUCAAUUGAAAAAGAAAUCUUCUUUCCCUCGUCCAUCCCCCCAAAUUUAUUUUGCUUUCCCUCCCCACGGUCGUCCAUUUCCCCCCACUUUAUUUUUCUUUCUCUCCUCACCACCGACAGACAUUCUAUCCUAUCACUUUCCCUCCCCCCAAAAUAUGUGAUGGCCAUUAGAGUGCCCUUUUUUAAUUACUUUUGAGUUUUCUAUCAAAUACCCUAGCUUUACUUGCUCCUCGCCGCUCGUUGCAUGACCCCCUUCCUCUCCUCUUCCUCUUGAUCCUUCUCCUCUCCUCCUCGCCGCACGAGCACCUUCCUCUCCUCUUCCUCUCACCUUUGGCCCUUUCUCCCUCGCAGCUGCAGCAUCGUUGGAUCCAUCAUAGCAUCACAGUGGCGGCCCUUGCCUCAAUCUAUGCUCUUUCUCUAGCCAUCUCUCACCAUCGCUUGCGGCCUCGUCUCUAAUCCCUCACCAUUGCUUCCACCCUCCAUCGUCUACUGGACAUGCGUGUCCAAACGUGUCAAGCAAAAGUUGACCACGUGUCGGAAAAUCCGACAGGCAUUGACCGCAUGCCCGACCGUGUUCGAGCAUGUCGACAUGUCUGACACGCUCCGACAUGUGUCGGACACAACACGGAAGCACGGGCAACAUGUCCAUGCUUCAUAGCUUGUAGUCCUUCACCAUAUUUAGCAGUCCAUGCUGUGGCCUCACAGUUGAAUGGAAAGAGCAAAUCCCACUUACUCAUCAAUACCACGCGCGCGCGAGAGAGACAGAGAGAGAGAGAGAAGGAUGCGGAUGAUACGUUUCCUAUUUCCUUCCAUGCUCAGCUUUUUCACCAUCAAAGCUGCUGAAUUCACCCACACCUUGAACACCUUGAACGGCCAUUACUGCUUAAACUCAAGCACCUUCACCCCCAAUAGCACCUAUCACGCCAACCUCAAUCGCGUUCUCGAUGAUCUCGUCAGAGACGUGGGCACCAACCCUGAUAACGGGUUCAACUUCGCUUCAAGCAAAGCCAGCUCGAGCAACGCCGUCUACGGCAGCGUUAUGUGCAGAGGCGAUGUCUCCAAGAAAGAGUGCGUGGAUUGCGUCAGGAACGCGAGUAUUCGAAUGACCCAGCUAUGCCGGAUGACAAAAGUCUCCUUCCUGUGGUACGAUCAGCGCAUGUUGCGCUACUCCGACACGAAUUUUACCAGGAAGGUCGAGCUAAAACCUCUGUUGGCUGGAUACAAUGAAGAGAACAUAGACCAGUCUGAUGAAUUCAUGAAGGUACUGAAUGUCACUACAGAUCACGCAGCUAGAGAGGCUGCUCGGCAUCCUCCUAGGAUGUAUGGCCAUGGCGACGCCAAGUUUAGUCAGGAGAAAACGUUGUACACGUUCGCACAGUGUGUGCCUUACCUUUCCAAAAACGAUAGUUGGGAGUGCCUUCGCAACGCCACAUCGAGCCUCUUAAGCCUCCAAGAGGGGAAAAUUGGAGGCCGAGUGUUGCUUCCGAGUUGCUUUGUCAGGUUUGAGAUUUACCCGUUUUACAGGAGCAGCUCAAAAGGUAAGGUAGAACCUAAUAGUUGAUUUUUCAAAAGUUCAUCAUCAUGCUUCUUACUACUUCAAAGAUUACAACAGAAUUUGUGUUGUCCGCUCUGCAAUUUCUUGACCAUUGGGUAGUGUACCCCGAUAACAGAAGACAUAAAAACUCCAAAUUUGCCCAAAACAGAUGCCUCUUAUUGUUGCUUCAUUUUAUUGUAUCUGCACUCUUACUAAUAUGAGAUUAGAAGGGCAUAAUCUUGGAGUUUUUCCUGUCUAACUUAUGUGGAGGAGAAAAAUGCUCCAGAGCUUUGAGAAGCUUCAUUGUAAACCGCAAUAUCAUUCUACAUUAUGAUUAUAUAUGAAAAUUAGCAAGCAUCAUCUUCUUGAUAAGUCAAAAGCUGAAUGAUCAGAUUGAACAUCUUAAUUACCUUGUAAACCGGACCAAAUCCUCCUUCUCCUAACUUCUUGUUGCUCGAGAAGUUAUCUGUGGCAGCUUCUAUCGUUUGCAGAUCAAAUUGCAGGGAAUGGAGUUCAGAACAAUACAUAUUUAAUAUGGUAUUAUUCCAUAUGCAUAAAAUACUCAUUUGAAUGUCAUAUUCUUAAAGACCAAACAAAGAGGUUAUAUAUAACUUUGAAAACUCUCGUGUAUGCGAGGUUCUCUCUAUCCUCUGGUAGCGAUGUCUCAUCCAAAAACCGUAGAACUUGGCUAAAUCUCAUUUCCUUUCUAGUUUUUUGUCCCUGUUACAAAUCAUUUCAUUAACAAUCAAAAACCCUAAAAAAUGUCUCAUCCGCUUUGCGUUGGAUGAAUGCGGUGGUUUUAUCCGGUAGGAGUACUGGUGUACAAGGCUUGAUUCAACAAAAUCACUUGAGAUGAUCUGUGAAAAUCUUAUGGCCAGGGGAGGAGCACUGGCUUACGAGACUUGAUUCAAGGUUGGAUUUCUCCCUCCUUUUCUUCAUGUUGGCAGAGUGCUUGGGAUCCAUGCAGUAGCUGAUAGUGUGAAUACGAAUCUGUUGGUGAGGUGAAAAUGAUCUUGGGUUGGACUUCUGGAAGGAAAUCAGGGUAGAUGUUCUAUGAAAAGCCUCUGAUCAGAGUAUGGAUACAGCUUGAAUGAAAAGAUCUACAGAAAAUAGUGUUGAGUUUUCUGUCAGCAUGAUGUUUGAAAAUAUGCCCAAGAGGAAGCUCAGCCAAAUAUAGAAGUAUCGAAGCUUGCUAAUCUAGUCAGAAAAUAUGGAUGAUAAAGAGGAAAAUGAGUUACGUGUAGCAGCAUUAUGCAAACGAUUAGGACAUCUAAGGGCUGAGGAAGACGUGGUUGAAGUAAACUCGGAAAUAUCUUUACAAAAAAGAGAUGAAUGCAACAGAACAAUCUUGGGUAAACUCUACUCAAAACCCAAUGUAAAUUUUCCAGCAUUCUUCACAACUAUAAAGAAAGCAUGGAAAACAGAAGCAGUAGAAUGUGCUAAAAAAGGAAUAGGUCUCUUUACCUUUGUGUUUCAAUCAGAGGUUGAAAAGGAUAGAAUCCUCAAAUCUUCACCUUGGUCUUACUCCAGCAAUCUGCUUGUGCCGAAACAAUGCGAUCCUGAAAUUCCAGAACAUUGUUAUGACUUUUCUAAAGCAGCUUUCUGGGUUAGAAUCAGAGGUAUUCCCCUUGGUUGGAGGGUGGAAACAGUUUACCAUGAUCUGGGGAGAAAGUUAGGCUAGGUUCAGGAAGUUCAGCUCGAAACCAUGGGAAACCUGCAGCAAAGAGGAGGAAGAGUUAGAGUGGAAGUAGACUUAUCUAAUCCUCUGAAAGCAGGAACCAUUUUGGAUAUCGGCAAAAAAUGGCUGUGGGUAGAAUUUAAAUACGAGAGAUUACCCCAUUACUGCUACUCCUAUGGAAGGAUAGGCCAUUACGCACAAGAUUGUCCAGAAAUUCCUUACGCAGAAUCCCCAUGGGCAGUCGACAAAAUAGGGUCCUACGGACCAUGGCUGAAAGCAGAAGUCAGUGAUCAUAGUCCUUAUUGGGAAGCUUUUUAUGGAAAUAUUGAAGAAUACAUUAUUGUAGAAGAAACCAUACUUGUAGCACAUUCUCCAAGUAGAGAGCAUGCUCUAAUCAUAAGAGAGAAAGGCCUAGAAAUGUGUCUUGAAGCCUGUAGCAAAAAAAGAGCUGAAAGUUCCGUGGAGCCGGAUAGAAUGGAACUCCCUGUCACAAAUCAGAACGUCAAUAAAGAUUAUGGAAAACAGAUCAUCUGCUCAGAUACUCUCACACAGAAUCCUCUAAAAAUAGGAAAGAGCAGCAAGAAGAACAUGAAGGUGCAGAAAGCUAAGAAGCAGAAGUGCUUACCUGAACCUAUACCUAUCCUCAUUGAUGAUUCAGGCAUGACAGAGACUCCAGUGAAGUUUCUUAAUGAUAGAACAGACUGGGCUUUGGUGGCUAGCCCUAAUAAGCCACCAAAGACGACAUGAAAAUCAUUAGCUGGAAUUGUCAGGGGCUGGGCAAUCCCCUGACAAUCCAAGAGCUAAGAGCAUUAAUUGCUCUUGAAAGGCCCAGUAUAGUCUUUCUACUGGAGACUAAAAACAAAGCAACGAUGGUGGAAAGUAUAUGCAGGAAACUCCAAUUUCAGCACUUAUUUCUCGAAAAUCCAAUGGGUAUAGCAUGGGGAUUGGCGCUAAUGUGGAAUGAGGAAGUAACAUUGCAAGUGCAAAGUAGUUCAAAACACUUUAUUGAUGUUAAAUGUAUUGAUUCAGCCAGAAAAUUAGGCAUGCAGAUAACGUUUAUUCAUGCGUCCAUAAAUUUUGGUGAGAGGAUACAAUUAUGGCAGCAAUUGAAGACAUUGAAGCCUCACAGCUCCAAUCCAUGGAUAUGCAUGGGGGAUUUUAACGAAAUUUUAUAUGUAUGGGAGAAGGUAGGGAAAAGGGAAGCAGAUAAUCAAAGAGUAGCAGCUUUCAGAAAUAUGCUUAAUGAGUUAUCUCUAAUGGACAUGGAUAGCCAAGGCUGUGCAUUUACGUGGGCAAAUAACAGAGAAGGGGAGGAUCUUGUUAAAAAACGACUGGACAUAGUGUUAUGUACCUUGGAAUGGCGAGUAAUAUUCCAUGAGGCAGAAGUUCAUGCACUUCCAGCAAUUGGCUCGGACCACAGUCCUUUGGUUUUGAGGCUACACCCUGCACAAAGGAAGAGAAGAAGAGAAUUUAAAAUGGAGGCCUUUUGGUUGGAGAAUGAAGAAUAUCAUGAAGUUAUUAACCGCGCAUGGACCUACACAGCCCUUCCACAGACCACUUUUUCAGCCAAACUUCAGGAGACAGCCAAAAAACUGACACAAUGGAGUCAAAAACAGUUUGCACAUGCACCUAGAAGGAUAAAAGAGUUAACUCAGGCCCUAACAGUAAUAACCAAUCAGCCACAACAGAAUUCAAGCAGACAGGAAGUGAAGAGCAUCAUCCAUCAGAUCGGUACACUAAGAAAACAGGAAGAACAAUAUUGGGGACUGAGAUCGAGAAUCAAAUGGCUACAGUGGGGAGACAAAAAUACAAGUUUUUUUCAUGCAACAACAGUUCAAAGGAGGCGUAGGAAUCAUAUCACAAUGUUGCAAAUGGAAGAUAGCAGAUGGUGUCGGGAUCCAAGAGAAAUCAGACAUCACGUCUAUGACUAUUACAACAAUUUAUAUAAAACAGCAGGGGAACGAAAUUAUCAGCCGGUCUUAAACCAAUGCAAAUCUUCUAUUGAUGAUCAUAUAAAUGCAUCCUUGGUGGCUAAUCCCACAAUGGAGGAAAUUAAAACAACAGUUUUUCAGUUGGGAGCUACGAAAGCGCCGGGUCCUGAUGGGUUCAAUGGCCUGUUCUAUCAAAACAGUUGGGAAAUUAUUCAGACUGACCUGGUCCAAUUGGUGCAGGAUUUCUUCAACACAGGAGUUUUGGAUCCUCAUUAAAUCAAACCUAUAUUGCCUUGCUCCCCAAAGUGAAAAAUCCUGAGAAAAUUAGUCAGUUUAGACCCAUCAGUCUUUGCGACUUCAGUUUUAAAAUUAUCUCAAAACUACUUGCAAAUAGAUUGAAGCAGUGUCUGCCAGAGAUAAUCGCACCUGAACAGAGUGCCUUCGUUAAGGGGCGUCAGAUACAGGAUAACAUCUUGAUUGUGCAGGAAGUGCUACACCACCUGCGCAUCACCAAAAGACAGAAAAAACAUCAAGCAGUACUCAAACUAGAUAUGCAAAAAGCAUAUGAUAGAAUUGAAUGGGAUUUUGUUCGGGAUUGCAUGCUAAAACUGGGCUUUUCUGAGAAAUGGGUGACUCUAAUAAUGCAAUGCAUCACCACAGUAACUUUCAGCGUAAAGCUCAAUGGAGAACCUACCUCGUUUUUUAGUCCAUCCAGAGGCCUAAGGCAAAGAGAUCCCCUGUCACCUUAUUUGUUCAUCCUAAUCACAAAUGUAUUAACGUGGUUAAUGGAAAAAGCAGUAGAGGAAGGCAGCAUACAAGGCAUAUAGCUUAACAGGUCUUGUCCUAAGCUCUCUCACCUUAUGUUCGCAGAUGAUGUUAUUUUCUUCUUGGAAGGCACUCUAAAGGAAUGUCAGAAUCUGUCAUUAACAAUUAAUUAGUACUGUUAUGCAACGGGGCAAGCGGUUAACCUAAAUAAGUCAGGAGUUUCUUUUAGUAAGAACUGUCCCUUACCACUUAAAAGAAACAUGGCUCACGAGCUUAGAGUGCCUGUGGUUGACAAGACAGGCAAAUACUUAGGUAUCCCUACAGAAUGGGGACAAUCUAAGAAAGAAUUAUUUGCUUGGAUAUUAACUAGAGUAAACUCCAAGUUGGAGGGCUGGAAGGAGAAAUUACUCACCAAAGCAGGAAAGGAAGUCUUGAUCAAGAGUGUGGUGCAGGCUAUACCAACAUAUGCCAUGUCGAUCUUCAAAUUGCCAGUCUCCAUCUGUAGAGCAAUUGAAAGGCGAAUAGCUUCAUUCUGGUGGCAAAAAGGAGAUACAAAACAGGGAAUCCAUUGGAAGAAUUGGGCUGCUAUGAAGAAAAGAAAGGAUGAAGGAGGGAUGGGAUUCAAAGACUUAAUUACCUUCAAUUGUGCGAUGCUGGGUAAACAAGUCUGGCGGCUGCACAUGUCCCAGGAUGCACUCUGGAGUAAAGUUCUGAAGAGUAUAUACUUCCCUCAUGGGGACAUCUGGAAUGCACAGAAGGGCCGAUGAUCAUCUUGGGGCUGGAAAAGUAUGCUGGUGGGGCGAGAUUCUAUUAAACCAGAUAUCAAAUGGUUAGUCGGGGAUGGCAAAUUAAUUAAAAUCAAGGAGGAUAAAUGGUUAUCACAGGAGUUAAAUGGGCGACCAGUAAAUCCAGCAGAACCAAUUAUGGUGGAAGGAUUGAUUAAUGAAGAAUCCCGAACAUGGAAGCAAACCCUUAUUCAUCAGUAUUUUGAGGAGAAAAUAGCAAGCGAGAUUCUAGCUAUUCCCUUGAGUACAGAUCCCAAACCCGAUAGAAGAAUAUGGACAGGUAACAGUAGAGGGGAAUUCACGGUCAAAAGCGACUAUAACAGAACACAGGCAUUGAAUACCAAACAAAACUCACAGAAAGCCUCUUGUUCUUACUAGACCCCACGAUCUUUAUGGACACAAAUUUGGAGCCUCUCCGUUCCACCGAAAAUCCGAACCUUCCUGUGGAGCAUUUGUCAAAAUGCCGUUCCCACCAGAGAGAACCUCUACAAAAAAAAGAUCAGUCUAGACCCUCUCUGUCAGAUGUGUCAUACGGAAAUUGAAACUACCAAACACGUUUUCCUAUUGUGCAGAUGGACUAAAGAGAUCUGGAGAGAUAACAGACUACAGGGCAUGAAUAUGAUGAAACAAAUCUGACGAAUCAAUCAAUGGCUUCUGACAGCAGUCGAAUCAAGAAGGAAAUCACUUGAGUGCGAGUUCAUCGCAUGGGUGCUAUGGCAGAUCUGGAAAGCUCGGAACGCACGGAUCUUCCGAGAUAAAACUCCAAACUCAGCGGAAGUAAUCGACCUCGCCUAUACCCAAAAUCAAGCCUUCAGUAGAGGAACGAAGCAAAACCUAAAUCGAACUAAAAAGCGGCACUUACCAGAGGAAUGGACACCAACCGGAAAUAGUGAGUUGAAAUUGAACGUGGAUGCUUCAUGGAUACCAGGAGAAUUUCUCUGUUCUGUAGCCGGCAUCGUCAGAAAUAAAGAGGGAUUAGUCGUCGACGGAUUUGCAGCGGAGGCUAGGGUUUCUUUAGCGGAACAAGCAGAAGCAGAAGCUCUUUUACACGGGCUCCGCUUUAUCUCGAACUGGUCAUCUCACGUGCGGGAGUCUCCAAGUCAAGUAGUUUGCUUCCUUUGCGAAAGUGACAGUUCAACGGUGGUGGACUACGUUAUGGGCCGGGCCGAGAUACCAUGGAAUUUGCGCAGUUUUAUACAAUGAUGCCAACAGGAGCUUCGUAUGGGCCGCCAUGUCUCCGUAUCUUACUGUCCUCGGGAGGUAAAUCAAGCCGUUGAUUGGCUAGUACGCGCAUAUCGCUUAAAGCAACUUCCUUUAGAUUGGGUGCAUAGACCCCCUCUAUCCUUUUGGAAUAUUUUAGUUUCAGAAUGUAACACAUCGUCGUAUUCCAAGACUUCUUAACCUAAUAUAUCAGUAGCUCUGUCAACCAAAAAAAAAAAUGUCAUAUUCUUGACAUAAUCUGAGAAGUGAGCACUUCAAUUUACUUGCAAACACUUCGAAAGGCAAUCCUCUCAAGUUUUCGACUCUUUUUUCAGAAUGAAGUAGCUUUCCAUCUACACUUCCCAAUGCCUUCUUCUAUGGCAAUGCGGAUGUGCUGAUGGAGCGUACCUGACUCUCUCAUUGACCUCAAUUUCCUAAGAGAUGGUCACCUGUAUCUACUACCUUAUUUAAUCAUUAUUGACUGACCAAUCUACCUAUUUACAUGUUUAACCCAAAAGAACAUUAACAGUCCAAUUCUACCUCUUUGAAAUCGGACUCUCAUAAUGUAUAACAAAAAUCUAUGUAUCAAUCACCUACUUUCUUCUAUGCAUAACCAAUCGGCUUCAGGCAACUGUGUCCAAGCCCUAACGCGGGAUGUGAGAACAUUUUAUAUCACCUAAUAAAUUAAUUUUUAUUAAAGUUUAAUAUCGCGAAAAAUCUCAAACUACUAUACUUAUGAUAUAUUUACUUCAAAUUAUUUUUUUGACUACCAAUGACCAGAAAUUAGUAUACUUGUGAUAUAAUUACCUUAAACUAAUUUUUUGAACAGAAAAAAUCACAAAUUUGGUAAUUUGUCAUAAAUUUAUUCUUUAUUAGUUUUCAUUAAAUUGAAUUAAUACUAUUGAUAUACAUGUGACAAAAGGAGUGUGAAACUCUAAAUUGAUACACUCAUCAAUUAUCACGUGUCAUUUAACUUGACAAUUUAACUAAAAAUUUAAUGGAAAUUAAUGAAGGGAAAAAUUGUAAGAGAUCUAUAAGUUUAAAAAAUUUUAUGAUAAAAAAUUUAGUUUUGAAUAAAUGUGUCACGGGUAUACUAAUUUAGAAUUUCUCAUGACAUAUACUAUUUUAUUUUAUUCUUAUUUAAACACCCUUAUUUUUAUCUGCAUGGCUAUUUUUCUUUGCCGAACACCCUUUUAGUUGGUGCCAUUUGGGGGGUAAAGAACUCCAAAUGAAAAUGACUUUUUUUGGGGUUUGGGGAUGGUGGUGGUGAGCUUCCUCCCUCCCUUUGAGCCCCCACUCCCCCACGUUCGCACAGAAUCACGCUGCCAGCUGUCACGAAAGCGAUGGCUCGAGGCGACCGACAUGGACCGGUUCAACGCUCUCGACCUCACAUUAAGAUUUUCCCCUGCGAGGCCUAGAAUAAAGAAAACCACGAAAGUGGCCCGCUGACGUGGCAAAACAUAUGAAGAAAAUAAAAAAAUAAAAAAUUUGAAAGCUUAGAACGUGAUCCACGAGAAUUGAAAAGUUCUAGUGGCAUGGUAGUUGGGGCCGUUGAUAUGGGUUAAAUUGAUUUCUUUUUCCUUUUUUUAAUAAUUUUUUUAAUUUUCAUUUUCAUUUUUUUGGGGGGUUUUGUUUAACUUUAUCGUCGCGCAUGCAAACGACUUUGAGUAAGUCAAUUUCGGCAUCUUUUUUUUUUUGUCCCCCGGUUUUCCAUGCUUAAUAAUUAACCUUUUUCUUUGCUUUCUAAUCUCUGGAAGAUUUGUGCCUGCCUUUUAACUUAAGCCAUGUCGGAAAAGCCCGCUUAGCAAAUUUGUAUCAGAAUCAACGUGGUUGUAACUAUUGCCUUCUUCCGUUUCAUUUUUUUUUUCUUUUAAUUAAUUUUGGGUUAGUGAGAAAUGUUAUGGAAAUAAAAAUAAAAACAAAAGCAAGAGGAUAAGCAUCGCUACCCACCCCGGUCUUUCUUGAUAAAGCAUCCAACAACACAUCAAGGGUCUAUAUCAAAUUCUGUAAAAACAGAUUGGUGUUAACUGUUAAUGUGUAAGUGAGAUGCCUUAAGAAUCUUUCUAUAAUUAUGUUUUUAUCUGUACCUAGACUGUCGACCCAUUAAAAUGGGUCAUAAACCCAUUUGGUAAUCCAAAUGGAUGUUAAAUGAAUUAUAAAUGAAUCUAAAUAUCAUAGGAGUAUUAAGUGAGUCAUAAAUUGCUUUAUAAUUUACUUAGACCUAAUUCAUUUCUAUAGCUCCCUCUUUAGUCUUGCCUUCAAUUGAUCUCACACUCACUCAUUUCGCACUUUUAUCUUAGUUUGACUAUGAGAUUUCAUAAAUUGGAUAAACUAUGGAACCAAUAUGAAUCGAGUUGGAUAUGGGUUGGGUUGGAUAUGGAUUACUAAAUUGCAUUACAUACAAAUGGAUCAAAAUGGACCAAAAUGGGUCUAUUUGGAUUGGGUCAUUUAUGACUCGACCCAAACCCAACCUAAUUUACUUGUUUGACGGGCCUACUUGAUUGUAUUGAUUACUCUAUUUUAGGCAAUCACAAUUAGCCACUAGGUCGUUAUUUUUUAAUUUGACUCUAAAUGUUAACAUGAUAUCAUAAUAGGGAAAAUUGUCCAAAAAGUCCUAAACCUAUUUUAGUUUUGCCAAUUAAGUCAUCAACCUUUCAAUCUCGCAGAUUGAGUCCUAAACCUUUUGUUAAUUUGCCAAUUGAGUCCAUCCGGCCAAUUUUGGCGGGAAAAUGCUGACGUGGACGCCAGCGGUGUCACGUAGGACGGUUGGAGCUGACGUGGACAAUUUUUAAUAAUAUUUUAAUGUUUUUUAAAAUUUUUUGAUUUUUUUUUCUAUUUUUUUUCCUCCUUUUUGUUUUUUUUUUUCCCCUUUUUGGCUUUUUCCUUGGCCUUUUCUGGUGGCUGGCCACCAGUUGGCCUCGCCUGCCACAGGCGAGGUUGGGCUAGGCAACGGCGACGCCGGGCGAGGUCGCCCUAGAUCCGGCGAGGGCCAGCCUCACUAGAUCUGGCGAGGAGAGCCCUUGCCGGGGGUCGCCGUCAUUGUCACCUAGGCAAGCGUCGACCUUGCCCCUGGUCGGGUAGGCGAUGGCUAGCCACCGGCCACAAGUCGACGCUCGGCCGGCCUCGCCAGAUUUGGUCUAGGCAAGGUCGAUGCUUGCUUGGGUGAGGACGAGCUAUCAACCUCGGCGAGGGCUACCCUCGCCAGAUCUGGCGAGGACCGACCGGGCGACGGUGAUGCCGGGUGAGGGGCCAGGGGCAAGCCUCCCUCACUAGAUGUAGCGAGGCUAGCCGUUACCGGGGCCAGGGUGGCCUCGCUUGGCGUCGCUGUCUCCCAGCCGAGCCUCGCCUGUGGCAGGCAAGGCCAGCUAGCAGGCUGUGGCCAGUGGCCGGCCACUAGAAAAGGCCAAGGAAAAAGCCAACAAGGAAAAAAAAGAAAAUAUAAAAAAAUCAAAAAAAUAUAAAAAUAUAAUUUUUUAAAAAAUAUUAAAAUAUUAUUAAAUAUUGUUUACGGCAUCCACAUUAGCAAUUUCCGGCCAAAAUUGGCCAGAUGGACUCAAUUGGCAUAUUGACAAAAGGUUUAGGACUUUGGCAUACUGACAAAAAGUUUAGGACUUAAUCGGCAAGAUUGAAAGGUUUAUGACUCACUCGGCAAAACUGCAAUAGGUUAGGACUUUUUGGACAAUUUUCCCUAUCAUAAUAGGAGGUCCAUAAUAAAAUCUUUCAAGUCCCCUAUUUUGAUCAAUUAUUAUACUUUUUCGAGAUUGCUCUUAGGCCAAAUUUCAGCCUAUGCAUGAGGGGUAAUGUUGUAACAUUUAAAUAUUAAACUGUGUAUACAUUAUACAUAUUUAAUUUUUUAGAGUAGUAGGCUAUUGUCUCACAACAUUUUUCAUGGAUUUACUCCUUUUAGUACGAUUGUGCAUAUCAGAUCACAAGAAUAACCUAAAUGGAACUCCAAUCCUGGUAUUUAUAAUCAAAGUAUCAAAGUUAACUAAAAAGCAAGCACCAUGCAAUUUUCAGUUUCCAAAACAUAUCAAACAUUAUGAACAUAAGGAUUCCAUAUCGGUUUGACAGCCGAGCCAUGCAAAUGAUUCUCUUUCGGACUUUUGCCGGCUCAAAACACGUUUGGAAUUCUAGUACCCAAUACUUGCAUAAACUACUUGGGUUUUUGAAGAGAGUUUGUGCUAUAUAACCAAUCUAGGGCAAAAUCUCGAAAAUUAUUGCAAUAUUUUUUAAAGUGAAUUCGUAUCAUAAAACUAAUCUAUGGCAAGAGAUAACAUAAUUAGCGGCCUUCGAGCAUCGAAAUCGUAACGUCAUUCCUAGAAGCUGGUUUGUCAUUUGCGGAUAGAUUCGCGCCAUGGUGCUUGCUCUUGAAAACGUAUGCAGGUCGUUUCGGGGAUGCAAGAACCACAUCUUUAUUUGCCAACAUGAACACAACGGUGGACAUGUCCCGCCUAUCAUCCGCGAAUUCUUGCACGCACAAAAGACCGAUCUGGAUGCACCUCAAGGCCUCUUCUUUGGUGCAUGAAUCACCCAUCGACUCGUCGAUAACGUCCUCGCAGUUUCCUUCUUUCCAUAGCUCCCAUGCCUGCGAUUGUGUAGUGAACAAGCUGAGUAUAUUAGGCUAUGUAUUAUGUAUGAGUCCAGUCCUGUCUCUUGUACUCAUUCAGAGUUCUAGUACUUACAUGGCCUACCAAGGAAGAUGGAUUUUCAUUGUAAUAUGCACCGUUCCUUUUGCCACUAAUGAUCUCCAACAACAAAACUCCAAAGCUGUAGACAUCGGAUUUUAUCGAAAAUAUACCCUCCAUUGCGUAUUCUGGCGGCAUGUACCCGCUGCCGUGCAAAAGAUGAAGCAGAAAAAAAAGGGUUUUGACUAGUUAGUUGAGUUGAGGCUCUUGGAAUCAAUAAGCAGGUAAAGCAUUGCAAUGGCAGGAAUUCUCACUAUGUUCCAACUACUCGAUUUGUGUUUCCUCGGAUCUGGUCCCCGCCGCAUACCCUAGCCAUACCGAAAUCCGAUAUCUUUGGAUUCAUUGCAGCGUCGAGUAGGAUGUUGCUGGCCUUUAAGUCUCGGUGGAUGAUCCGGAGCCUUGAAUCUUGGUGCAAGUACAAGAGUCCUCGAGCCACCCCAGAUGCGAUUUCGAACCAUUUUCUCCAAUCCAGCAACGAUCUUUUCGUUUUGUCUGGACCAAGAUCAAGACAUCAACAAACCAUUGUUCGUUGUCAUGGGUCGAUCUAUGAAAUCAGAGUAUUCUAACUAGUGGGAGAGCAGAAAAUGUACCGAAAAGGAAGGUAUCCAAGCUCUUGUUAGGUAAAUACUCGUAAAUUAGCAUUUUCUCGUCUUCUUCGACACAGCAGCCUAGUAUUCUCACCAGGUUCCGGUGCUGGAGCUUCGCAAUUAACCGGACUUCGUUUUUAAAUUCUUUAACUCCUUGUCCUGAAUGCUUUGAUAGUCUUUUGACCGCUAUUUCCAUUCCAUUGUCCAUAACGCCCUGUCAAUUAUAUUUCCAUUAUGCAAGUCUUUAUCAAUUUUUCUAACUAGCUUUGUUGUGUAAUGGAAAUUUACCUUGUAUACUGAUCCAAAACCGCCUUGACCGAGCUUAUUGAGGACGGAGAAAUUGUUUGUUGCCGAAGCUACGGUACUCAGAUCACAGAGCGGCACAUCUCUGUUUCCCCUCGGUUCAUCACUGCGGUCUUUUACACACUGAGGGCCGUUGAAAUACGUUGAACUGGUCAUAUCACUCACCUGUGGAUUAUGGCUUCUGCGAUCUGUUUCCAAGACAACCACAUAAAUGCCAUUACAACCUUGGAGAAAUUGUGAGAUUCCUCAUUCAGUAAUUCAUUUCGUUGCACCGAAUGAAAGUUGUAAGCUUGAAAAGAUCUUCUUGGUUUAUAUAUUGUUGUGCUUUAUGAUUUCCAUCUCUUGUACCCUGAAACUGGCCUUGUGCUGGUUUAGUUUCAUUGUUGAAAUGCUGCAUCGAGAUGUGAAUUGGCAUGAUCGUGCUUUCUUUUGUUCAAGGUUCUUAGAUUCGGAAUUGAUUAAAUAAAACAUAGAAUUCACUCCGUAACUGACUUCCUAUAGCUAAGAAUAGUUCCAAGAUUGAACCGACUAAAAUUUGCGUCCUUUAUUAAGUGGUGAACAAUAAGAGGUGAUGAAUUUUAGCUGGAAAAUAUAAUAAAUAGCGCACUAAUGUUGAGGACUAAGUGACGCACCCUUUCUCUUCUUGAUCGCCAAGCCAUACAAGAAGAAGCCGGCGAGAAGUAGAGCUGUCAAAAUUGAAACUAGAAUGAUCGCAACCAUUGCCUUUUGGCUGAGGGAUCUUGUCUUCCUGUGACGAGCUGAAAGGAAAGUACAAACACAGUAUUUCAGAUUCAAUGGCCUCAAAAAUGCUUGUGCCAAGUAAAGGAAGUAAAAUUCUUUCAACCUCGACUUGAAACCAUAUAUCACCAAGUGGAUCUCAAACAAUACAAAGUUUAUGCGAUCCAAAAGCUCGAACUUGAUUCCUAGAAUUGUGUUUGUGAAUUCUUAUUUUCAUGAAUUUAAUCUGUUUUGAAGUUUGAUUCAUCAUUUGCUUGACAAUACUAAUUUAAUAAAACAAACGAUGCCGGAUAUGCAUCACAUUAACAAAAGUAGUACUAGUAACAUAAGUUAUAGAAGCAGGAGUACCUAACUCAAUGGCAUCGAUCCGUACAUAUAAAUCUUGAUCUGAAUCGGCAAAUGUUUUUGUAUCGACUAAAUCGCCAUGCCAUAUGAGGCACCCGGAACCUCCCAGGCUUUCACUGGCACUAGCAUAAGCUGUGCAAGAGCAAUCCCUCAGGCAUUCCUCCUCGCACUCCUUCAAGUUCAAGCUCAUGUUGGCACGUGCUUUUGAAGUGUCCGGCACCUUCGCAGGUGCCACCCUCACGAAUCCUUCCCCACUUCGACACGCUGACACCCCUCCCCUCCUUACGCAGCCUGCCGAUCCAUCUCUAAGGUACCAAUCGCCCGGGGAUUUGGGCUCGAACCCUGGCAGGCAUGUGCACUCGAACUGGCCCGUAAUGUGUGGAUUGCAGUUGCUGUUGGGCCCACACUUGCCGUAAUAAUCGCACUGGUCCUUUGGAGCGAACCAGAAUUCUAUCCACCGCCGGUCUCUGUCGUGCCACGUGGAUCGUCGGAGUGACCCCGAUUCGUUCACCACCAUUCUGGUGAUGAUCGAUGCGUCAAUGACGUCAUACAUUGUAGAAACCUCGUCUAGAUCAUUUACAAAGCUUAAGUUCAGGUAAGCACGAGUCAUUUCAGGUAUACCGCUCCACCGAUCUCCAGUCCAUGACCCGGCACGCCAAUAUGGAUUCCCGUCCUUGUACAGAAACAAUUGAGCGUAGCCCGUUGCGUCGAUCUUAAGGGAGUAAUUGCCAGGUGUCGGAUCGUCUGGGGACUUCCAUGAUGUUAUGAACUGGUUCAAACCGGUUUUGCGGUUCAACCCGAUUUUCAUUAAAGGAAGCACAGUGUCUGUUGGAUAAUCAAAGCUUUGCCAUAUCAUCUUUUCGCUAAAAUCUCGAAGUACUAGAUUGCCUGAAUCCAUGAGCUGGGCUGUAGUAGAAUGAUUGGAUAAUGCAGAAGAAACAUUUGUGGACGAAACAGGAAAGCUUCCAUUUGUCUCAUAGAGCACCAAAUUUCCAUCAGAAUCAAUUGAAAGAGCUCCUGAAGUGCCACUGAUUGGUCUCUCUCGAUUAGCAACCCAAACAAUGGUUUGCUCAGAAAUUUGAGAAUACCAAAUUCCGACAUAACGGUGGCUAGAAUUACCCCGGCUGAAGAAACCGAGAGUGAACAUUUUACCACUGGAGACCAAGAGAUUGCCAUCUUUGAUAGUGUUGUUUUGGUUUAGGAUGUCCAAGCAAGUACUUACCUGAAGUAGAAAAAGAAGCAGCAGGGCAUAUACUAACCCCUUUUCUGUGUUCAUGUUUUCUUUUUUAUUGAGUAUUAUGUGGUAUGAUGUCUGAGGCAACAAAAGUGACUGAAUGAAUGACACCUCAAAUACCACGGAGUGUAGUUGAGGUCUUUGGUCGAGGUCUUAAUUAGUGAGGAUCCACCUUUCUCAUGAAUUUAAGCAAGUAAUUGUCACCUUUUUUGUCCACCAUGUAAAUGAAGUGCAAGGUAUGAUACCAAUGUUUUCCUUUCUAAGCUUUGUAUGUUCGGUCGAUAUUUCUCAAUCGUGAAACAAGAAAAUAAUUCCUACUUCAUGUAAAUUGAAGUAAUGGAUGCGUACCUUGGCACCUCCCCUUGCUUUCCCUUCCCAGCAGCCUAGUAGCUUUUAAUCAAUGUGGUCGAAAGAAAUUACUUGAGAUGUAUUUGCUUUCGCUUGAAUUGAUUUACGGUGAAAGAAUAGGAUUCCGAAUUAUCAUCGCGCUGCUCAUCACAAAGAAAACUUGACAUUUCAAACUGUUGUGAUGGGGAGGGUAACCACAUCGGUUUCCAUCAAGUGCGAUUUUAACAUGGAAACAAUUAGUUGAGGCUGAAGUUCGAAUCUUGAAUCUUCUAUUCAUAAGCUCAUUGCAGAAACUGUGAAAAACAGAAGAACAGUCCUUGCUUUGAACUCAUUAACUUCAGAAGUUGCCAAGAAAGAGUGAAAGGAGAAUCGUGUUGUCCACGUCUUCUAUCGAGUCAAAACGCCCAGCUGCUUCCACCAAAAUAUUUAUUUCGUAGGUCUUUUUCAAGGAUAGAGUCAGAUAUGCCAUUUGAUUUCCUAUAAACCCUUUUCAGAUUAGUCCUUUAUGCUAGGCUAGUGUUCCAGUUUUCAUAUGACAGAUCUAAUCUACCAUAUUAUGGUGAUUCUUUUGAUUUGAUUCCAAUUGCUGCAAUAUACGGAAUCUCUUCACUGUUUGUGCUUCUAAUUUGCAGAUGCAGAGAGGUUUGUUUCACUUGCCAUCGUCAACAGCUUUUAUUAAUUUUCUGAAAUCUCAAGUGAAUGCAUUCCACUAGGGUGUAUUUCUGACCAUUAUUGUGCCUAUCAUCGGCAAUUUGCAAUACUUUUUUUAAUGAUAGCAAGCUACUUAUGGAUUGUCUAUAUACUCUACAAAGAAUUAAUCUUGGCAGGCUGAACUUAAAUAAAGUCACUAAAAGAUCAUUUCUCUCUUUUCCUUAGGGCUUUCUCAUCUCCCUCUAAUUUUCACACAGCUUAAAAAAAAAAAAAAAACCUUUAUGAAGGGGAGGGUUUGAGAUAGAUCGCUUCCUUCCCUUCCCUUUUUCUUUUUCUUCGGUUGAUUUGGUUCUCAUUCUCUUUUUCUUGCUUUCCUCCCAUUUUGUGGAGCUUUUCUUUUCCGAUCUAGUUUAGAUCUAAACAUUUCUCUCUCCUAUUUCGGGGAGAUUUCUAUCCAAAUCUAGUCGAGAUUUGGGGAUUUUGCGUGUGUGAUUUGGGCUUUUUGUUUCUCUCAAGUUUCGUUGGUGUACAAAUCCAAUUUCGAAAGAAAUCAGAUGAGCUUUGUAAAUGUUUUGCUCUCACAAGUGUUAGAGCUGUGCUCGCUCAACCUUAUUUAUUCAAAUGGCGAUGGUGUUGGGGCACCACAAAAAUGUGAAGUUGCAAUAGUAGAUGGAGAUCUUUGUGUGUGUUCAUUACCGAAGACAGAUACAAUGAUUGACGGCUGAUUUUGGUUUGAAAAAAUCUCGGAUCUACUAUUUGAGGUGGUGAUUCCUAAGCUCGUUCUAAUAUUUCCUUAUCUAGAGCUUGUUUUGUUUUGAAAUUGUUUGGAUUUGUUUUGGCUUGCAGUUGGAUUGCGAUGUUUCUCUCUUAUAUUUCUGUGAAAAUUAAUCAAAUGUUACUAUGACCAAAAAAUAUCAAAUAAAGUCACUAUGUUUAGACUAGUGUGACAGAAAUUGGCAUAAAACCUGUGUAAGCUGGCCGGUUAGGAUUUUGUACACAUGUAUUGGAUCAUCAAAUUCAAGAUCAGAUUGAACACUCUAGACACUCAUGCAAUUAAAAAACAUUGGCAUAUAUUUAAAAGUUGAUCGACAAGUCCUUUUGCUGGACUUAUAAUAGUGGAUGAGACAUGCGUCGAAGAAAGGGCAACCCAAGACUUUCAUCCCUCGGUCCCCCCAUUUAGCCCCGUCUAGAAGGAAGUACUUUAACAUCAUCGUUAGAUGAUUUGGACCGCCGUUUCACAAGCUAAACAAGAGAUAAACAGAUUGAUCAAUCACUCAUCAAGAAAUCUGACCCCAAAAAGAAAAAAGAUAGGCCAAGAGAUGAAGAUGAAAGAUGGUUAGUGUUGACAAUGUGAGGUGGCGUGAGAACAAAGGGAGAGAAAUUGUCUAAAAAAUCCUAAACUUAUUGUACUUUUGACAAUUCAAUUUUCAACAUUUUAAUUGUGCCAAUUAAUUCUUAAACAUUUUCAAUUUUAUCAAUUAAGCAUAUUUGGAAAAUUUUAACUAGAUAUUGCUAAUGUGGACUUUGGCAGUCCUACGUGACAUGGUUAGCUUUGACAAGUACACUUUUUAAUAAUAUUUCAAUAUUUCAAUAUUUUUUUAGAUUUUUUUGGCUUUUUCCCAUUUUCCCUCCACUAGCCAUCAUCGAGCCUUGUCAAUGCUUGUUAAAGGUCACCUGUGACAUCCUGAUUUUCGAGUCUGAUUUCGAUGAGAUGAGCUGGGCUUUUCAUCAAUGUGUCUACAGCCUUUUUCUCUGAGUUGGCCACUCACGAGUUAAUUAACCUAUUAGGUGAAGCCGUUAAGGAAUCUAAACGCAAUAGACUUGAGAAUUCGACUAGGAAUCGACUGCUCGAUCGUGCUAAUCUGCAAGAGUCAUUACGGCACCGUCAAAAUCGAUUAGAGACCGGAGAUAGGUCGAUUCAAUAGAGGUAUGUGAUUCGUGCAUGAGUGAUUUCACCUAAUUGCAAAAUUUCCAUUGAACGGCAUUAAACUGAUUUUUCUCUCAUUUUUGUAUUCGGUGUCCAAAUUUGAAAUCUCGAGAUUUUCACAACAACCGAGAGUUGCCAAUGUGUCGAAAAAGUAUGUUGUGGCUCGAAAAUAAUCGACCACGGGUCAAUUACAUUAAAAAUUCCUAAAAACUACCCAGUAAAUUAGGACGCGCUAAAAUCACGCCUGAUUUAAAUUAACUGCGAAAUUGAACUCAAUUUUAGAAAUGGAAAGUUUUGUUAUGUCACGAUUCAUUUUAGGAAUGUCAACUCACUUUCCGAAAUUUUUUCGGAGAUUCCGAGAUUUUUACAGAAAAUCCAUUUGGAAAAUAAAUGAAAAUUCGGAUGGGCUCAUUUGAAGGAAAUUUUGACUUCCAAGCUGGGCUAUGUGCUGAUGGGAACUUAUAGAAUUUAUGUGGACCUUUUCUUCUUCAAAAUGGGACUUCAAAUUGGAGAAAUUGAGGAUGAGAUUGAAGUCUAUAUUGAGUGAAAUUAGGAACUAAGGAGGGCUGAAUUUUUGGCACCAAAAUUGGAUUAUUUAUGGAUUUCUAAGCAAGAAAGUAAUAUGGGACAUUGUGAUAAGCUUGAAGACUAAAGGGGGGACCAAGCUUUAAUUAAUCAAGAUAUUUCUUUUGACUUUUGCUUCUCUCUCUCCUCAAAACUUCCCGAGCACGCCCCCUGCCGAUCUUCUUCUUUGCGCGUCUCACUCCCCCGACCCCCUUUUGUUUUCGCUUCUUUCAUUUUCCUUCUUUCGUUCCAGUGAAAUUUCAUUCCCCAUCCCUACGUUGACUUCGAUCACCACCGCAGUAACCCACCAUUUAUUGUCCUUCUCUCCACCGAACUCUCCUUGUCACACGUCCAAGUCUCCAAUUCCCUUGGUCAACCAAAGAAACCCUCCAGCAACGUUGACUCCUCUUUCCAAAAGUCCACGCCGUUGAUUUUGAAGCAACUCCUUUCGAAGUCUUCAUCCACGCGGCUCCACGUCCAACAACAAUCGAAGAUCCCCCCUGCAGCAACUUCUUCACGUGCCAGCUCGCCCGUCUCCACGAAGCCCACCGCCAGCAGCCAUCUCGAAGCCCGCUUCAGCCUUCGAAAUUCAGGAUCGAGCUCAGCUUUGCUGAGCUGUUUUGGAUCUUUUACGGCCCGGUCUGAGUUCCGUUGGCCUCACCGUGAGCCCGAGUCUCGGCCGCCAUUGCGCCGCUGUCACCGUGAGCCGAUUUUUGUGCUAACUGGUGAGUUUUUGUUCUAAUCCCUAAUUAGUGGGCUAAUGACUCUUAGAAGUGGGUUAGUUAGCUAAUUAAUGGGUUAGUUAAGUUAAUUAGGUUUAGGAUGAUUUAGUUAGAUUAAGCAUAUAGUUAGUAUUUAGUUAGUUCAAUUAAAUUAGUUAGGUGGAUUUAGUUAGUUUAUUUAAUUAGUGCAAUUAGAUAGAAUUAGGUAGAAUGGUUAUAUUUAAUUACUAGUAGAUUAUUUAGCCUAGUUAGUUUAGGUUAAUUUAAUUAAAUGCUUUAAAUUUAUUUAUUUUGUAAUUUAUUUAAUUUUGGUAAUUUAUUUAAUUAUUAUUUAUUUUUCGAAAAUUAGACCGGGACAGCCGGUGACGGGAAUUGCAUGGUGAUUGCAAUGGUGUAUUUAAUUUAUGCAAUUGAAUGUUAAUUUGUGCAAAUUGAGUGUUGAUUUGAAUUUUGAGUAUUUAAUUCCAAAAAUUUAUGAAAUUCGCUAUUUAUUCAGAAAAUCUCAGCUGUCAGAUUUUAACUUCGAAAAUGGUUUUAUAUACUAUAUAAAAUAGUGUGAUUUUAAAUUGGAGGUUAUGAAUUUUCCGGGUCCAAUCUGACCAUGUACCCACUCAUGACUAUUUUAUUGUGUAUUUUUAAUAUGAAGAAAAUAUACCCGGAUUGCUAUUUUAAUUGAGGCAUUUGAGUGUAAUGCACAAUAUCCUGGGUCGAGAUUGAUUGGUCGUGUGUUGGUUAAGAGAACUCAUCUCGAGCAAUUACGCCGGAUGUUAUUAAAUCCUUUUUCGGGUUACCCAUGCAUUAGGGUAUCGGGUCGCAAUAGAUUCUGGAUCUAUGCUCUUUCAGGAAUGUUGUCUUUGAGAGACGAAGCCAUGCUCAAUGGGGAAGAGACGAUGACAGCCGAACAUAGGAGUCUGUUGUGCCUUGAGUGGCUUAAUUAACAAUUGGAACGCAUGAUUGUCUGAGUUUGAUGUGCCUGAUUAUGAGACAAAACUGUGUGGCAUGGUAUGGGAUGUGUCAUACGAUUUGACAUUAUAAUCGGGACCCUUGUGAUUUAUUGAGUUGUUGAGGUGUUUCAAUUGUUAUGUGUAUUAAUUGUAUGCAAUUUUGAUAUGAAUUGUAUUGACCUGCAGGGAGGAUCUGAGACAAGGUAAACCUCUGUGCUAAUUGUGUGAUUGUGUGGUUAGGACACUUCUAGGUGUAUUUCCCUCCUAAUCGGGGUUUAGAGUGUGAACUCAUUGAGAUUUUAUCUCACCUCACCGUGGGCUUAAAUUUUCAGAGUCGUAGAGGGAGGACCUGGAGCUGAGCUAAGGUAACCUGAAGAGUAGGUCAAAUAGGACAGCCUUUUUGGGAGUUAGUCUUUUGAAAUCUUUUGAAUAUGGGAUUUUGUACUUGACUCAAUAUGUUUAUAAAUCAUGUUUGUUUUGUGAAUUGUUGUCCAGCUUUUCUAUCUUGAGAUGGUUACUCUUAGGGGAUUUGUUAUUCGCUUCCGCAUGAGCAAUAAAAUGAAAGGGUCGGUGACUCGUCCUAGGAAGUCGCAUAUUUUUAUCGACCAGAGUGGGAUGGGCACGCGCUCGAGAAUCAAGGCGUGACAUCACCAGUGUAGGCUUAGGCAUCCCUUACCCUAGAUUAGCAAGGGCCGCCGACCUGGUGAGGGCUUCCUUGCCUAGGCCCAAGCAUCCCUUGCUUGAGGCUGAUGAGGGCAGCCCUUUGCCAGAUCGGGCGAUGGGACGAUCUUUUGGUGCUUUGUAAUCAUUUGGUGACCUUUUGCCUAGAAACACAACAUAAUGAUUACAUUGAAAGAAAUAUUUAGAAGAAUGAAUAUCAUGCAAUAAGAGAUAAGAGUCGGUUGAUAACAUUAAGUAAUUCAUAUGCAGGUUCCUGUGAAACUUGGAAAUGAUUCAUCUGAUCAUGAUGCUUUGAAGAUGGUGGUUGCCAAGGGAAUGAGAAGAGAGGUAAUUGUUAUGUGCAGAAGUCGAUGUAUGGAGACAACACAUUUUGACAUUACCAACAUGGAAACUGUUUUAGGUAGCAAGAGCAAUAACAGGGCUUGGUGAAGGAAGAGUUACAUAAAUCUGAAAUUGUUGGACAUAGCAAUAAAACUCCACUAUAUCAAAAACCUUCAAGCAAUAUGCGGAAGCCAAGUCGAAUGUGACUCUUCGCCUCCACUCUACAUCAAUUCCUUUCCAGGUUCAUCGGGGAUUGGUGUGUCGUUUGUGUAAGUAGUCAAGCACUAGCAUAUACCAUGGGAAAAGAUGAACUAAGUUGGGAUGCCAAUAAAUUUUCAUCAUUCAAUGCGUGGUUAGGGAAACCAAAUAACAAGAGGGGAUCAACUUACCUUCUAUGUAGAUCCAAAACCUCCCUACCUGAGCUUGUUGCGGAAGGACAAAUUCGUUUGUAGCUUCAGUGAUAGUGCUUGAUUUCAAAGAAGUGUCGAUCUGUGUUUCUAUUGAAGAUUGAAAGAUAUACAUAAAGGAAGAAGAACUAUCUACAGAAAAACCUAUCUGCAGAAAAACCAUUUUAUAUAACUGACCCCAUAGCCAUUAUAUAGGCUUUACACCAACAAGUAACUACCACAACCUGCUAACUUAACACGUACAUCAACAAAACAACAUAAUAGGAGUGCUUAACAUACUAUUAACACAUUAAAAACAAACCAAAACGAAAUUGACUCAUUCAACAUUCCCUCCCUUAAAUUGAUGUUGCAAACAAUCAGUUUAAAGGACCUUCUCUCAAUUUGGAAUAUCCAACAAACGGACACCAAGGAGCUUUCUCAUUUUUUGAAAAAUGGGCAACUUUAGGGGCUUGGUGAAUAUAUCAACCACUUGAUUUCACUUUUACAGAAAACUAGCUCAAUUACUUCAUCCUUUGUAAGAUCUCUUAAGAAGUGGUACUUCACAUCUAUAUGCUUGCUCCUCCCAUGUAGAAUUGGAUUUUUGGACAGCUUGAUAGCUGAGCUGUUGUCAUAAUAGAUUGUAGUUGCUUCUUGCUGUUUGAACUGAAGUUCUCCUAGAAUCUUCCGUAACCAUAUGGCUUGACAGGCGCAUGAAGUUGCAGCAACAAAUUCGGCUUCAGUUGUUGAUAAAGUGACAAUUGAUUGCUUCUUUGAAGAUCAUGAAACCACCCCUAAACUAAGCAUGAAUACAUAUCCUGAAUUACUUCUUCUAUCAUCAACAUCUCUAGCAUAAUCGCUAUCUGUAAAUCCAAACAAAUCUGACUUUCCCCCCUUUUAUAGAACGACCCAAAAUUUUUUGUUCCUUACAAAUAGCGAAAAUUUCUUUUUGCAGCUUGUAGAUGUAACUCUGUUGGGUGCUCCAUAUACCUGCUUAUAAGGCUCACAGCAUGCAUGAUAUAUGGUCUUGUCCCUGUCAAAUACAUUAGGCUUCCAACAAUUUGCUUGUAGAGAGUUCUAUUCACCUUGCUCCCAUUAGGAUCUUUCAAGAGCUUCAAUCCAACUUCAGUUGGAGUAGUCAUGGGGUUACAAUUAUUCAUUUGAAACCUGUCCAAAAUCUCUUGAACAUACUUCUUUUGAGACAUAAAGAUUCCAGCUGCAGAUUGAAUCAUUUCUAUGCCUAAAAAAUAAUACAUCAAACCAAGAUCAGUCAUCUCAAAUUCAUCCAUCAUAGACUCCUUGAAUUUGUCAAAUAUGGCAUUAUCAUUCCCAAUAAAAAUAAGAUCAUCCACAUAUAAGCAUACAAGAAGCAACUUUUCACCAUUACCAAUUUUAAUAAAGAGUGUAUGCUCAUAUGGAAUUUUUUUUAAAACAUUUCUUCAAAAAAUAGGCAUCAAUACGACUAUACCAAGCUCGGGGAGCUUGUUUUAACCCAUAUAGUGCCAUUUUUAAUCUAUAAAAUUUGUGUUCACUAUCGAGCUUCACAUAACUAGAAGGUUGAUCAACAAAUACCUUUUCUUGAAGAUCAUUAUGCAAGAAUGUUGACUUCACAUUCAAUUGGAAGAUAGGCCAUGAAUUUUGCGAUGCUAAUGCAAUUACCAAUCUGAUUGUGUCAAGUUUUGCUACAAGUGCAAAUACUUCUUUGUAAUCCACUCCAAAUUCUUGCUUGUAGCCUUUCGCCACUAAGCACGCCUUAUACUUGUCAACUUCACCAUUCUUGUUCAAUUUUGUCUUAUACACCCACUUGACCCCAAUUAUUUUGUGUCCUUUUGGAAGAUUUGUCAACUCCCAAGUGUUAUUAUUCCUCUCAAUAGCUGCAAUUUCUUCAUCCAUUGCUAUCCUCCAAUUUUCUUUUUGUACUGCUUCAUCAAAGGUUGUUGGAUGACAAUCUAAAAACAAAGCAAAAUGGGUAAAUGGAUCUUCAUAUUGAUAAACUCCUAUUACUUCAUAGUCACUCAUCCAUGCAGGCCUCCGUUGAACAUGAUGAGGCUGAUCUUUAGGUUCUACAGUUGCUGCUGUACUUUGGACACUGCCUGUGGCAAUUUGGGUUGUUGUGGAUUGCUGCACCAGCUCAUCUUCAUCUUCAAAAUUCAUUGGAAUUUGCUUACUAACACCUUGCUCACCCCACGACCAAGUUUGUUAUUCAUCAAAAAUCACGUCACGGCUGAUAAUGAUUUUCUUGGUCAUAGGAUCAUAAAGUUUAUAGGCUUUUGAUUGAUCACUAAUGCCAAGAAAAACACAUCUGACUCCCUUGUCAUCUAGCUUCUUUCUCUUAUGGUCAAGAACAUGGGCGUAAGCAAUACACCCAAAAAUUCUAAAAUGAUCUACUAUAGGUCUUUGGCCACACCAAGCUUCUUCUGGUGUCAUAUUUUGAACAGCUAGAGUGAGACUUGUAUUUAAAAUAUGAAUGCUCUAAUUGAUUGCUUCAGGCCCCAAACUUUUUGGAAUUCCACUUCCCCUCAAGCGACUUCGCACCAUAUUUAGAAUGGUAUGAUUCUUCCUCUCACAUACGCCAUUUUGUUGUGGUGUAUAAGCUACUGUAAGUUGUCUCUUGAUGCCAUGCUUCACACAAAAAUCUAUAAACUCAAGUGAGUUGUACUUUCCACCACAAUCUGUGUGAAGGACCUUUAUUUGAUUUCCUCCAUCUUUUGCAACGAGUGCUUUGAAGUUUUUAUAAGCUGCAAAAGCUUUAGAUUUUUCUUGCAAGAAAUACACCCAAAUCUUCUAGCUAAAAUCAUCGAUGAAGGUAAUGAUAUACCGUUUACCUCCAUUGGAAAUAAAAGAUAUUGGUCCGCAAAUAUCUGAAUGGACCAACGCCAACGAGCUUUUUGCUCUCCAUGAUUUUCUUUGUGGAAAUUGAGCAUGAUGUUGCUUGCUAACAACACAAUCUUCACAAAUUUCUAAAGGAGUAGAGAUUUGAGGAAGACCCUCCACCAUCUCUUUUUUAUGUAGUGUUCGCAACCCACCAAAAUUGAGAUGCCCAUAGCGAAAAUGCCAUAGCCAAGCUUCCUCCUUCAAUCUUGCAGAGAAACAUGAAUUUGUAGUGUUGUGGAGAUAUAUCAGAAACAUCCGAUUGCCCGUCAUUUUGACUUCAGCAAUUAAACCCAACUUCUCAUCUUGGAUUCUGCAAAUCCCACCUUUAAUAGAGAUUUCAUAUCCCUUCUCUUGCAACUAACCCGCACUUAACAGAUUAGUCUUCAAUUCAGGGACAUACAAUACAUUUGAGAUGGUUUGUACAGAAGUCCCUUUUGGAUGAAUUGCCACCGUUCCUUUCCCCAUCACUGACACAAUAGAAUUAUCACCAAACUUCACAGUGUUAUGGUAUGAUUCGUCUAGAUCAGAAAACAUCUUCUUGUCUCCACACAUGUGGUUGCUACAACUGGUGUCAAGAUACCACAUGUUUGGUUGAGUUUGUUGAGAUAGGGCAAGCGAUCGAACAAAAUAUAGAUGGAAGAAGAAAAAUAAAUCGGACACCAGAUUUACGUGGUUCAGUCGUAAAGACCUAUGUCCAUGGGGAGAGCAGCAGCAAAUUUCACUAUAGAUCAAGCGAUACAAAGAGAUUACACACUCAAGUCACUCAAACACUCUCUCGGUGUUUUCCAAACCCCAAUUACACCCAAUACACCAAUCUAUCUUGGAUGUAAAUCACGAAUAAGCUUCGCAACACGAACAACACGAAGACCCAAAGCCAAGCACCCAGCACCUAUGGACGUCUCUCACAAACAGAGAAAACCACGGCACUCAAAAAUAACAACGGCGCUUCAAUCAAUAACUAUGCUUCGGUAAAGGGCCUCCCUCAGGUAACUUCUCUGGUGUUAACAGGUGAAUUUAUAUCUGGGCACCGCAACAGAUCAGCCCGCUCACCUUGUGCAUAGCUAUGGAAUAUGCACCUUGCCCUCCCAUCGAGUUUACCAUCACUCACUCGAAAAUAACAUGGGCAACCAGACAUUCUAAGAAUAGAAUAAUCAGCAACGUUACCUGACAACACUUCUUCAGGAGUCUUCCAUUCAAUAGCAGUUGAUGGGGAUCUAUUAACCAGGCAGCUUACCGUACUUAGCACAUCAGCUAGGAUUCUCCUAGCUAUACCAGCACUAGAUAUCAUUUUUCGGGUCAUCUCUAGUAAUUUUCUAUUUGUCAAUUCUGCAAAUUGUUGUAAUUUAUUGGCAUUAGUGCGGUGUUUCACUAUGCUUUUUUUCAUGCAGAAUUUAUUUUCCAGCUUCGAGCAGAACUCCAUGCUAUUGUCAGUCCGCACAUGCUUGAUCGAUUUACUAGUCUCUAUCUCGAUCAAAGCUCUUCACUACGUGAUCCUAACACCAGCAUCAAACUUGUGCCUUGGCACAAACACCCAGGUCUUCCUUAAACAAUCAAAAGACUCUCGAACAGAUGCAUCCGACGUCUCCGCAGCGAAAUUUAUCACUGUCUCACCUUGAAGUUUAUACAGGCCAUCAUGCUUGAUUCCUUUCAUUAUCACUAGGGCACCUCGAACAACCUUCAGAACUCCACCUUUUGAAGAAUACCUGCAACCAGCUGAAUCUAGGGCAUCCAAGGAAAUUAAGUUCUUUUUCAAUUCUGGAACAUGCCUCACUCCAGUCAAUGUCCUCACGAUACCAUCAUGCAUUCUGAUUUUAACAUCACCAACACCCACAACAUCACACUUAGCGUUAUUCCUUAACUGGACUUUACCACUACCCGUGCACUGAUAAGUGAUAAACCAGUUUCUAUUUGGUGUGACAUGAAAAGAACAACCAGAAUCCAUAAUCCAUCCAUCAAACGAUGAAUAAUCAGUGACAGACAAGACAUAAUCAGUAUUAUCUGCUACAAUUGCAACAUUAUUUGCAGAAUCAACCAUAAUUCCCUUACCCUUUUCAUUCUUCAACUUAAGGUAAUUCCUUCUAAGAUGUCCCUUCUUGCCAUAGCUCCAAUAGACAACAUUAACAGUCCUAGAUUGACUACGUCUGUUCAUAUUAGUACUACCAUUACCCACACAUGUUACAGAUCUUCUUCUAUUUUCACCUACUAGAGCAGUAGAUACAGAUUCGCCAGAUUCUCUUCUACGAAUGUCCUUGCUCAUAAUCAAAUCUCGAACCCCAUUAAACGUCAAACUUGUUGACCCAGAGGAAUUACUAACAGCAGAAACGGUAAUAUUCCAACUAUCAGGCAAUGAGGAUAAUAGAAUCAAAGCACGUACCUCAUCUUCAAAAUCAAUCUCAACUGAACUCAAUUGACUAACAAUCACAUUGAAUUCAAUGAUAUGAUCUACAACUGACGCACCUUCUUUCAUCUUCAAGUUAAACAGACGUCGCAUCAAACAGACCUUGUUGAUCGCAGAGGGCUUCUCAUACAUAUCCGACAAGGCUUGCAUCAAAUUAGCAGUAGUCUUCUCCUUCGGGAUGUUAAACGCGACGUUACAAGCCAACGUCAACCGAAUAACACCCAUAGCUCGUCUAUCCAGCAAAUCCCAAUCAGCUUGCUUCAUCGUCUCUGGUUUCUCUCUAGAUAAAAGCAAGUGCAGAUUCAUCUGAUAAAGAUAAUAUUCAAUCUGCAUCUUCCAAAAACUAAAAUCCUUCCCAUCAAAUCUGUCGAUUCUCACUUUUACUUCUUCUGUCGCCAUCGAUUCACUUCAACUUAGACAAACCUGGCUCUGAUACCACUUGUUGCGAUAGAGCGAGCGAUCGAAAAAAAUAUAGAUGGAAGAAGAAAAAUAAAUCGGACACCAGAUUUACGUGGUUCAGUCGUAAAGACCUACGUCCACGGGGAGAGCAGCAAUAAAUUUCACUAUAGAUCAAGUGAUACAAGGAGAUUACACACUCAAGUCACUCAAACACUCUCUCGGUGUUUCCCAAGCCCCAAUUACACCCAAUACACCAAUCUAUCUUCACGAAUAAGCUUCGCAGCACGAACAACAGGAAGACCCAAAGCCAAGCACCCAGCACCUAUGGACGUCUCCCACAAACAGAGAAAACCACGGCACUCAAAAAUAACAACGGCGCUUCGAUCAAUAACUAUGCUUCGGUAAAGGGCGUCCCACGAGCAAACCUUUUGAGGAAUAUUAUAUUCCACCGCCAAAGAAUUUCAUGCAUGAAGAAAGCGAAUCAUCCAAGAUUCGGUCAACAAAAGUAAAAAUUUGACUUUCUUUUUUUUAAUUUCCUUCUUGGCUUCACAUGCAAGGGACGCUACAAAGGCUUCUUUCUUCAGCAUUAAUAUGUGUGUGCCUGGGCCCACGAAGCUAACGUCUUCAACUUAUUCAGGCCCCCUUUUUUUAUUCAAAUAUUUCAAAAUUCAGCUUUUCGCUUCGAGCUUAAACUCAAGACAUAUUUUAACAGAGUUUCUUCCUUUUCAUGGCACACCAUCAAAAGAGAUACUUCUUCUUCUUUUUCAGCAAAGUUAGUUCUUUCCAUACUUUGUCUAUUCAAAUUAGUUCGACAUUCAGAUUUGUAAUGCCCAUACUUGUGGCAUCUAAAACACUCCACUUUGGAUUUGUCUGCUAACCUUGGCCUAAAACCAGUUGAAUGUCAUCCUCCAUGACCUCUUCCUCUCCCUUGGAAAUCACGAUAGGAAUGUCUUUCAGACUUUUGAUCAAAGUUGAAGCUGCUGCGAUCAUUGUUCCCUCUUCCUCUGCCUCUUCCUCUAUUCACCCUUGCUGCUAAUAAAGAAUGAUCUCCAGUUGAGACCUUCAAAGCUUGCUCUUCCGUCUCUUGCUGUAGGAGUUUUUGUUCGUGAACUAACAAGGAUCCUUGCAACUUAUCAAUUGAAAGUUCUUCAAUGUCCUUGGCUUCUUCUAUGGAACAAACAACAAAGUUGAACUUUGGUGUCAAAGAUCGAAGAAUCUUUUCAACGAUGGUGACAUCCUUUGUCUUGUCGCCAUGAAUCCGCAUCUUAUUUACUAUUGCCAUUGUCUGAGAGAAGAAAUUUGUGAUUGUCUCUCCCGACUUCAUUUAUAGCAUUUCCUCCGAACGAAGCGUUUGAAGCUAUUGCCUCUUUGCUCUUGUUGAGCCUUGAUACUUUCUCUUCAUGGAAUCCCAUAUUUCCUUGGAGGUAUACUUGCAAAGAUUUGUCUCCAAAAUGGAUCUGUCAAUUGCUUGGAAAAGGUAGUUUUUGGCCUUGAGAUCCUUCAAUUUUGAUGCAUCCAAAGCUGUUCUUUGCGCUGCUGUUAACAUAGCUCCUUCUUCAGGUUCAGCAAAUCCCGAGGAAACAACAUCCCAAUACUCCUUGGACUUGAGAAAAUUCUCCAUUAGCAUGCUCCAAUGAUCAUAGUGACCGUCAAAGUGUGGAAUAGCUGGUUGUACAAAUGUUUCUGAGGCCAUUACUGCUGCUGCAAAACAAAACCACCACUAAAGCAACCUGCUGCUACUACAAAUGAAAAAUAGCCUGCUACAAUACUCUCCUUUGAUUGCUGCAAACGAAAGUACUUGCUGCAAAAAACUCUCUUUUGGUUCUCACCUUUUUACAACACUCAAACACACACUUUUCUUCCUAACCUUGCUCUUAUACUAUUGUUGAAGAUUGAAAGAUAUACACGAAGGAAGAAGAACUGUCUGUAGAAAAACUUGUAUGCAGAAAAACCAUUUUAUAUAACUGACGCCAUAUCCAUUAUAUAGGCUUUACACCAACAAGUAACUACCACAGCUCACUAACUUAACACGUACAACAACAAAACCACAUAAUAUGAGUGCUUAAUAGACUAUUAACACAUUAAAAACAAACCAAAAGGAAAUUGACUUAUUCAACAAUUUCUUCUUCCUUGGUUGCGGACGUUUUGCACGUCUGGGAUUCCUCAAAUUAUGUCGAACUUGAAGCUACACUGGCAAGUACUCCACACCCGCUUCUUUAUGCUGUCGAGGUAGUCAUACAAUGCGUAGAAUGAAAUCAAAGCAAUCAUCAAAUGCUUCUCUUUUCUGUCAGACCAGGUACCAAAUUUCUAUGCUCAAUUCGAAACUAGUUUUUGUCUUUCUUGAGGGAUCAUUAUUGCCUUUGCAUUUGGAAUAUAUGAUCUUAUUAAUAGAUGCUCUUAAUUUUGGUCUCAAAAUGAGGUUACAUUUAUGUUCUAUUUGACUCUAGAUGUUAACAUGAUAUCAGGAUAGGAGGAUUGAGUUCAAAUCUUUAGAGACCUCUACUAGUCUCUAUUGUUGUAAUUUUAUGAGCUUACUCUUAGGCCAAAUUUCAGCCUAUGUGUGAGGGGAACUGUUAGACUUUUUAAAUAUUAUACCACCCAUUUAUCUGACAUCUUUCAGUUUUCAGAAUGGUAGGCCAUGGUUUGACAAAAAAUUUCAUCGGUUUACUCCUCUUAGUACGAAUAUGUAUAUCAUAUCACGAGAAUCACCUAAAUUGGACUACAAUCUUAAUCUCUAAGGGAAUUAUCAACGUUAACCAAAAAAGAAGCAUCGUGCAAUUUGCAGUUUCCAAAUCAUACCAAACAUCAUGAACAUAGUGUUGGAAUUCCAGUCCCCAAUACUUGCAUAGCUACUAGUGUUUUAAAGAGAAUUUGUUAUAUAACUAAUUUAGGGCGAGAGAACGGAAAAAACUAGGGGCCUUCGACUGUUGAAACCGUAAUGUCGUUUAAUGAAGCCGUUCCAUCGCUUGCAGAUAGAUUCGUGCCAUGGUGCUUGCUCUUGAAAACGCAUGCCGGUCGUUUCGGGGAUGCAAGAGCCACAUCGUCAUUUGCCAACAUGAGCACAACGGCGGACAUGUUCGGCCUAUCGUCCGCGAAUUCUUGCACGCACAAAAGACCAAUCUGGAUGCACCUCAAGGCCUCCUCUUUGGAGCAUGAAUCACCCAUCGACUCGUCGAUAACGUCCUUGUAGUUCCCUUCUUUCCAUAGCUCCCAUGCCUGCGACUGUGUAGUGAACAAGCGAGUAUUUCAGGCUUUGUAUUAUGUCUGUGUCCAGUCCUGUCUUUUGUACUUAUUUAAGAGUUCCAGUACUUACAUGGCUUACCAAAUUGGAAGAUGGAUUUUCAUGGUUAUGCACUGUUCCUUUUGCCACUUAUGAUCUCCAACAGCAAAACUCCAAAACUAUAGACAUCGAAUUUUAUCGAAAAUAUACCUUCCAUUGCGUACUCUGGCGACACGUACCCACUGCCGCAGAAAAAAUGAAGGAAGAAAAAAAGAGGUUUUGACUAAUUAGUUGAGAUGAGGCUCUUGGACUCAAUAACACAUAAAGCAUUGCGAUAGCAAGAAUGCUUACUAUGUUCCAACUACACGAUUUGUGUUUCCUUGGAUUUGGUCCCUGCCACAUAUCCUAGCCAUACCAAAAUCUGAUGUCUUUGGAUGCAUUUCUUCAUCCAGUAGGACAUUGCUGGCCUUUAAGUCUCGGUGGAUGAUCCUCAACCUCGAAUCUUGGUGCAAGUACAAGAGUCCUCGAGCCAACCCAGAUGCGAUUUCCAACCGUUUUCUCCAAUCCAGCAACGAUCUUCUCGUUUUGUCUGGACCAAGAUCAUGACAUCAACAAACCAUUGUUUUUUCGGAGUAUUGUAGCUAGUGGGAGAGCAGAAAACGUACCGAAAAGGAAGGCAUCCAAGCUUUUGUUCGGCAAAUAUUCAUAAAUUAGCAUUUUCUCGUCUUCUUCGACGCAGCAGCCUAGUAUUCUCGCCAGGUUCCGAUGUUGGAGCUUCCCAAUCAACUGGACUUCGUUUUUAAAUUCUUCAGUUCCUUGUCCUGAAAGUUUCGAUAGUCUUUUGACAGCUAUUUCCAAUCCAUUGUCCAUAAUGCCCUGUCAAAUUAAUUUCCACUUUGCAAGUCUGUAUCAUCGUUUUUUCUAGGUAGCUUUUUUGUGUAAUGGAAGUUUACCUUGUAUACUGAUCCAAAACCGCCUUGACCAAGCUUAUUGAGGACGGAGAAAUUGUUUGUUGCCGAAGCUAUGGUGCUUAAGUCAAAGAGCAGCACAUCUCUGUUUCCUCUGGGUCCAUCAUCGCGGUCUUUUAUGGUCUGAGGGCCGUCGAGAUAUGUUGAAUUUGUCCUCAUAUCACUCACCAGUGGAUUAUGGCUUCUGUGAUCUGUUUCCGAAACAACCACACAAAUGCCAUUAUAACCUUGGAGGAAUUGUGAGAUUCUUCACUCAGGAAUUCAUUCCGUUAAACCGAAUGAAAGUUGUAAGCUUAUUAAGAUCUUCGCAAACAUUUUUACAUCUGUUUUCCUGGUAAAUAUAUUGACGUAUUGCAUGAUUUCAUCUCUUGUAUCCUGAAACUGGCCUUGUGCUGGUUUAGGUUCAUUGUUAAAUUGCUGCAUUAAGAUCUGAACUGGCAUCAUCAUGCUUUCUUUGGUUCAAGGUUCUUAGAUUCGGAAAUGAUCAAAUAAAAACAUAGAAGUUACUCUUUAACUGACUUCCUACAGCUGGGAAAAGUUCCAAGACUGAACCAACCAAAAUUUGUGUCCUUUAUUAAUUGGUGAACAAUAAGAGUUAGCAGACGAAUUAAACGGAAAAUAUAGUAAAGAGCGUACUGAUGUUGAGGACUAAGUGACGCACCCUUUCUCUUCUUGAUCACCAGGAGGUACAAGAAGGGGCUGGCGAGCAGUAGAGCUGUAAAAAUUGAAACCAGAAUUAUCGCAGCCGUUGCCUUUUGGCUGAGGGAUCUUGUUUUCCUGUAACGAGGUGAAAGGAAAGUAUAAACACGGUACUUCAGAUUCAAUGACCUCGAAAGUGCUUGUGCCAAGUAUAGAAUGAAAAAUUCUUUCAACCUCAACUUGAAACCAGAUAUCACCAAGCUGAUCUCAAACAAUAUACAGUUUAUGCGAUGCAAAAGCUCAAACUUGAUUCCUAGAAUCAUGGAUGUGAAUUCUUAUGCUCAUGAAUUUAAUCUGUUUCGAAGUUCAAUUCAUCAUUUGCUUGACAAUGCUAAUUUAACGAAACAAUUGAGAUUGCAGGAGAUACAUCACAUUAACAAAAGUAGUAUUAGUAACAUAAAUUACAGAAAUAGGAGUACCUAACUCAAUGGCAUCGACCCAUAUGUAUAAAUCUUGACCCGAAUCUGCAAAUGUUCUUGUAUCGACUAAAUUGUCGUGCCACGUGAGGCACCCGGAACCUCCCAAGCUCUCACUGGCACUAGCAUAAGCUGUGCAAGAGCAAUCCCUCAGGCAUUCCUCCUUGCACUCCUUCAAGUUCAAGCUCAUGUUGGCACGUGCUUUUGAAGUGUCCGGCACCUUCACACGGGCCACCUUCACGAAUCCUUCCCCACUUCGACACACUGACACCCCUCCCCUCCUCACACACCCUGCCGAUCCAUCUCCAAGGUUCCAAUCGCCCGGCGACUUGGGCUCGAGCCCUGGCAGGUAUGUGCACUCGAACUGGCCCGCAUCAUAUGGAUUGCAGUUGCUGUUGGGUCCACAAUUGCCGUAAAAAUCGCACUGGUCCUUUGGAGCGAACCAGUAUUCUAUCCACCGGCGGUCUCCGUCAUGCCAUGUGGAUCGUCGGACUGACCCCGAUUCGCUCACCACCAUUCUCGUGAUGAUCGAUGCAUCAAUGACGCCAUACAUUAUAGAAACCUCGUCUGGGUCAUUUACAAAGCUUAUGUUAAAGAUGUAAGCACGAGUGAUUUUAGGUACACCGCUCCACCGAUCUCCAAUCCAUGACCCGGCACGCCAAUAUGGAUCCCCGUCCUUGUACAGAAGCAAUUGAGGGUAGCCCGUUGGGUCGAUCCUAUAGGAGCAAUUGCCAGGUGUCGGAUCCUCUGGGGACUUCCAAGAUGUUAGGAACCGGUUCAAACCGGUUUUGCGGUUCAACCCGAGUUUCAUGAAAGGAAGCAUAAUGUUAAAAUAUGUCUCGAGUUUAAGCUUGAAGCGAACUGUUGAAUUUUGAAAUAUAAAAUAAAAUAAAAAGGGAGGAAAGUGCUUUGCUGUGAAGGCUACGGAUUCCGAAUUGAAGAAAAGAAGAACGAAGCCGCAUAAGCUCCUGCACGUGAAGAGAAAGGUGGUGGGGCCCAAGGUCAAAAGUUUGACCUUGGGCACACACGCACCAAGAAGAUUUCCUUUUCUACCGUGAGAAGUUGCCGAGUUCUCUGCACGCGUAGGAAAGGUGGGGCCCAACACACAUGUAAAAGCAUAAUCUAAUUUCCUUUGUUUUGUGCGCUUGUACGAAGUCGGUAAAAAAGAAACUCUACGAAGCGGCCAAAGACCUAUGUAUAAAAGGAGAAGCCGCACGCCACCGAAGUAUAGGUUGUUCAUCGAAGCGUUGUUCUUAUUUUGAGUGCCAUGAUUUUCUCUGUUUGUGAGAGACAUCCGUAGGCGCUGGGUGCUUGAGAGUGGGUCUUCAUGUUUCUCGUGCAGAAAAGCUUAUUCGUGAUUUACAUUCAAGAAAAAUUGGUGCAUUGAGUGUAAUUGGGGUUUGGAAAACACCGAGAGAGUAUUUGAGUGACUCGAGUGUGUAAUCUCCUUGUAUCGCUUGAUCUAUAGUGAAAUUCGCUGCUACUCUCCCAGUGGAUGUAGGUCUUUACGACUGAACCACGUAAAUCCGGUGUCCAAUUUAUUUUUCUUCUUCCGUCUAUAUUUUGUUCGAUUGCUUGCCCUAUCGCAACAAGUGGUAUCAGAGCUAGGUUUGGCUGAGUUGAAGCGAAUCGAUGGCGACAGAAGAAGUAAAAGUGAGAAUCAACAAAUUUGAUGGGAAGGAUUUUAGUUUCUAGAAUAUGCAGAUUGAAGAUUAUCUUUACCAGAUGAAUCUGCACUUGCCUUUAUUUAGGGAGAAACCAGAGACGAUGAAGCAAGCUGAUUGGGAUUUGCUGGAUAGACGAGCUAUGGGUGUUAUUCGGCUGACGUUGGCUCGUAACGUCACGUUUAACAUCUUGAAGGAGAAGAUCACUACUGAUUUGAUGCAAGCCCUAUCAGAUAUGUACGAGAAGCCCUCUGUGAUCAACAAGGUUUGUUUGAUGCGACGUCUAUUAAACUUGAAGAUGAAAGAAGGUGCGUCAGUUGCAGAUCAUAUCAAUGAAUUCAAUGUGAUUGUUAGUCAACUGAGUUCAGUUGAGAUUAAUUUUGAAGAUGAGGUACGUGUUUUGAUUCUAUUAUCCUCAUUGCCUGAUAGUUGGAAUACUACUGUUACCGCUGUUAGUAAUUCCUCUGGGUCAACAAGUUUGACAUUUGAUGGGGUUCGAGAUUUAAUUCUGAGCGAGGAUAUUCGUAGAAGAGAAUCUGGCAAAUCUACAUCUACUGUUUUAGUAGGUGAAAAUAGAGGAAGAUUUGUAACACGUGUGGGUAACAAUAGUACUAAUAUGAACAGACGUAGUCAAUCUAGGAUUGCUAAUGUUGUCUGCUGGAGUUGUGGCAAGAGGAGGCAUCUUAGAAGGGAUUGCCUUAAGUUGAAGAACGAAAAUGGUAAGGGAAUUAUGGUUGAUUCUGCAGAUAAUGUUACAGCUGUAGCAGAUAAUGCCGAUUAUGUCUUGUCUGUCACUAAUGAUUCAUCGCUUGAUGGAUGGGUUAUGGAUUCUGGUUGUUCUUUUCAUGUCACACCAAAUAGAAAUUGGUUUAUCACUUAUCAGUGCACGAGUAGUGGUAAAGUCCAGUUAGGGAACAACGCUGAGUGCAAUGUUGUGGGUGUUGGUGAUGUUAAAAUCAGAAUGUAUGAUGGUAUUGUGAGGACAUUAACUGGAGUGAGGCAUGUUCCAUAAUUGAAAAAGAACUUAAUUUCUUUGGGUGUCCUAGAUUCAGCUGGUUGCAAGGAUUCUUCAAAAGGUGGAGUUCUAAAGGUUGUUCGAUGUGCCCUAGUGAUAAUGAAAUGAAUCAAACACGAUGGCCUGUAUAAACUACAAGGUGAGAUAGUGAUAAAUUUCGCUGUGGAGACGUCGGAUGCAUCUGUUUGAGAGUCUUUUGACUACUCGAGGAAGACCUGAGUGUUUGUGCCAAUGCACAAGUUUGAUGCUGGUGUCAGGAUCUCGCAGUCAAGAGCUUUGAUCAAGACAGAGACUGGUAAGUCGAUCAAGUAUGUGCGGACUGGCAAUAGCAUGGAGUUUUGCUCGGAGCUGGCAAAUAAAUUCUGCAUGAAAGAGGGCAUAGUGAAACACCGCACUAGUGCCAAUAAAUCACAACAAUUUGUAGAAUUGAUGAGCAGAACAUUACUAGAGAUGGCCCGAAAAAUUAUCUCUAGUGCUGGUAUGACUAGGAGAUUCCUUGUUGAUGUGCUAAGUACAGUAAGCUACCUAGUGAAAAGAUUCCCAUCAACCGCUAUUGAAUGGCGGAUUCCUGAAAAAAUGUGGUCAGGUAACGUUGCUAAUUAUUCUAUUCUUAAAAUGUUUGGUUGCUCAUGUUAUUUUCGAGUGAGUGAUGGUAAGCUCAAUGAGAGGGCAAUGUGCAUAUUCCAUGGCUAUAAGCAAGGUGAGUGGGGCGAUCAGUUGUGGUGCCUGGAUAUAAAUUCAACUAUUAACAGCAGAUAAGUUACUAUUGACAAGUCUUCAAUAGUUUUGGCUAGGAGUGUUUGUGGCAGUGUUAAUACGAAUCUAAACGGUGUUCAGCUUGAGGUGGAGUUGCAACCAGAAACUCCUGAGGUAGCGAGUACAGGUACUAGCAAAGUAAUCGACAUAGAUAGUGUUUGUAGCGAGGUGGAGCUUAUAGAGCCAACGGUUGCUGUAAUUACUGAAAUUAACAAAGUACGUGUUUGAUCUCUUAAAAAAUAUGGAUGCAAUAACGGUUUUGCUUUAUCUGCGGUUAAGGAAGUUGCGUCAGAAAAUCCUUGCGGAGCAGUUAAAGGUGCAUGUGGAGUUGGUAUUCUGAUGAGGUCAUCGGUUAUGACGAAGUUCAAGUGAGGCUUGGACUUGGAUAAUAUCUGUGAUGGUUGAGCUCAUUGGGAGCAAUGGGAAAGUAGCAGCAGAACUUGAAUUUUUUUUUUUUACAAAGCAAUUGUAAUUUAGCUCAAACGUCGAGGCAAGGUGGAGAUUGUUAAAAUAUGUCUCGAAUUUAAGCCUGAAGCGAAUUGCUGAAUUUUGAAAUAUAAACUAAAAUAAAAAGGGAGGAAAGUGCUUUCCUGUGAAGGCUGCGGAUUCCGAAUUGAAGAAAAGAUGAACGAAGCCGCAUAAGCUCCUCCACGUGAAGAGAAAGGUGGUGGGGCCCAAGGUCAAAAGUUUGACCUUGGGCACACACGCACAAAGAAGAUUUCCUUUUCUACCGUGAGAAGUUGCCGAGUUCUCUGCACGCAUCGGAAAGGUGGGGCCCAAAGCAUAAUCUAAUUUCCUUUGUUUUGUGCACUUGUACGAAGUCGGGGAAAAAGAAACCUACGAAGCGGCCAAAGACCUACGUAUAAAAGGAGAAGCCGCACGCCACCGAAGUAUAGGUUGUUGAUCGAAGCGCUGUUCUUAUUUUGAGUGCCAUGGUUUUCUCUGUUUGUGAGAGACAUCCGUAGGCGCUGGGUGCUUGAGAGUAGGUCUUCGUGUUUCUCGUGCAGAAAAGCUUAUUCGUGAUUUACAUCCAAGAAAGAUUGGUGCAUUGGGUGUAAUUGGGGUUUGGGAAACACCGAGAGAGUAUUUAAGUGACUCGAGUGUGUAAUCUCCUUGUAUCGCUUGAUCUAUAGUGAAAUUCGAUGCUGCUCUCCCAGUGGCCGUAAGUCUUUAUGACUGAACCACGUAAAUCUAGUGUCCGAUUUAUUUUUCUUCUUCCAUCUAUAUUUUGUUCGAUCGCUCGUCCUAUCGCAACACAUAGUGUCUGUUGGAUAAUCAAAGCUUUGCCAUAUCAUCCUUUCGCUAAAAUCUUGAACCAGGACUAGAUUGCCUGAAUCCAUAAGCCGGGCUGUA